CUUUCUUUUCUCUUUCUAGAGCUGGUGAGAGAGUGGUCGUUCAAAUCCUGACAAACUAUCGCAAUGUUCCCUUUUAAAGCACCUGAAUCCUGAAAACUCUUUUCUUAAUAUCUUUUGCAAAGACUGACUCACCACAUCAUUUUUUUCUAGACACUCACCUACUGCCCCAUGAAAGACUAGUACCGUUACAUGUGUCGACUCACCUUCUCCCCUCUGAGGUUCGUGACGCCUCUGAGGAGUAGGUAGCAUACCGUUAGGGUUACAAGAAAACCGGGCUCUAAUACUAGUUGUCAAACCCCACCCUAGGAGUCCCAGUCAAACCACUAGUUCAACCGAUGAGUCUUACUCAGUUUUUAACUUGAACCACACUCAACUCUAGGCUACUAAUAAAAACAUUAAGACAAGCAUUAACAGCUUAAACUGAACACUUCAAUAAAAUUGACAAACUAGGAUCCGAAAUCCCAAAACACAACAAAUCAAAAAGAGAUGCAACUCCAGUUUAAAAAUACAUAAAAAUUAUAUCCUCUAAUAUAUAAAAACCAACCAGCUUUCUCCCCUCCAUCAGCUCCAAUACCUGUGACUGAACACAUAGAUAUGCCAAGAAAAACAAGUCUAAUGGGGUUAGUGAUAACCAUUGAGUGGCUAAACUAGGCUCGCAUAAAACUGCAACUAUACUAAGAAAAUAGGGCAAGAAUCAAGUAAUGUGACUCUGCGGUCCUGUAGGGAUCAUCCUAUCAAUAGUCACCCCUAACUAGUAGCUGAUAGCCUCAUGAAGGAUCAUACCAUGAAACCACCCGUUGAUACCGUGUGAGCAGCAUCUGUACGCAUACUCCACACAUCUUGCAUGACCGUAGAAACAUCCUGGGGGAUUUUGCAAUCCAUGGGUGGGUGACCAACACACAUAAGGAGCUAAUCUAGCUAAAUCUGAAUUUUGUCCUAAGCAUGAACUGUGAACCACAGUUCAAAUGUCAUGAGCUUAUGCUCGAACUUAAACAACUACCUGUUCAGUAGAUCACACGCUACUGCACAGUGUAUGAGCCCGACUCUGUUUCAUAACCCAUGUAUAGUAGAUGACACGCUAUUGCACAGUCUUGAGAGCCCGGCUCCGAAACACAACACAUGUACCGUAGAUCACACGCUACUGUACAGUCCUGAGAAUCCGAUCAUCGCAUUCCUGACAAUCCUAAUUACAGUUAUAUGCUUAAGUCAAAAAGUAAUCCUAACCCUCACCUAUUAAGAAGGGAUGGCAUUUCUGAUUCUCACUUGACAUGAUUCCUCUCACUGCCACUAAUCUAUAGCUUCUGACCGUGCAUCAUUUGGAGUUUAACCAAUUGAGUUAUACUCCAUUUACUUGUAGCAAUCUGAAACUUGCUAGGACAGAAACGUGGCGCUAAUCCUCCAACUGCCUCCAUUACACUAACUGAUCCAAAACUUCUACUCAUUGACAAAACUAACCCAAGUCCUUAACUAUAAAACAUCCAAAAGUUCAAAGUUGCUAAAGGUCCUCAACGCGUCCUACACACCACCAAAGCCGUUGCACCCUUGCCGAACGCGGAUGGCGCCACCGCUACUGCUAUUCCUAAAGCUCCGCCUUGAAUCUCCUCAAUCUCCUCCGAAAUAGUGAUCGGCACCGCCACAACUCCAUCCUCGUUUGCCCUCGAUCGAUGGAAUUCAAAAUCCUCACCUCUUGGCGUCAAAACUAAUGGCAACAAGUAACUUACCCUGCUCAUCGUCUCAGUGCAUCACCAGUUAGAUCAUGGAAGGGAAGUUAAACCAUUCUCCCACUUGAUGGUAAUGGGGCCCAACUCCACAAUCUGAUCCAUCAUACGGCCCAAGGCCCACCUCAACUUUAAUUGGACUCAAGGCCAUAAUUUAAGCCUAGGGUGGCAGUCCUCACCCUUCACUUGAAUGGUUCAAGUCCUAUCCAGAGCUAUAAAAUCAAUCUAACGGUCUAGAAAUCUUCGAGUUCAUAACUAACAAUUCACAGGCUUAACCCCUCUUCUGAUGGACUUAGUCAACCCAAUAACUAUCUCGAGCCUUACAAAUCUUUAAUACUUGGUCAAUUGCUGAGUCAACUCAUCAAAUUAAUUAAAUUAAUUCAUUUUUCAACUUCCGACUUCUACUCAACGAGUAAGUUUUGAAUCAAAAAAAAUUUUAACCGAACCAAAAAUUGAGGUGUCACAAUUGUCUACAGUAUGCUUAGCUUAUACAUGUGAUGGUUAGACAGUUAUGUUCAUGUUUCUACUUGAUGAUGUGAAAUUCAUUAAACUAAGAUAAGUUGUUAAACUAUAAUAAGUCCUUAAAUUAUGAUAAGUCAUGUUCAUGAGAUCCAUGUUAUGGCAUGUCUUUUUUCCAGGAUUAAUGCUCCCAUUAUGUCCAUCAUAUUCAUGUUACGGUUAGGUAGUUAUGUCAUGUUAUGUAUUAUUUAAUGAUGUGCAAGUUGUACCCUCGAAUUAUGAUAAGUCAUGUCAUGUCUCCCUGAUAAGGGUUUAUCUCAUUUUCAUGUGAUCCAUGUUAUGGUUAAGUGGUUAUGUCAUGAUAUGUUGGGUUAUUACAUGAUGAUGUGCAAGAUGUGCCUUGAAUUAUGAUAAGGCUAGACUACUUCAAGGUUAGGGUGUGAUAUGUCUACAUGACUAGUGAGUAGUGAAUAAGUACACGUUACUUAGACAAGUAAUGUGUAUUAGAAACAUGUAACUUUCUGGCUAGACCACCACCCCCUAUGUUGUGAUCUCAUGGUACCGUCUGAUGGAUACAUACUCACGGACUCUCACGUUCACGUUUGGGCCGGUAUUGCCCCUCAUGUUACCGUCUGACUGAUACGUACUCGCAGACUCUCACGUUCAUAUUUGGGCUGAUAUUGCCCCAUGUUUCUCACGUUUGGGCCACAUUUUUCCCCUUAUGUUACCGUCUGAUGGAUACAUAGUCCCAAACUCUCACGUUCACAUUUGGGUGUUGGACUAGUUAGUUGAGUUGGGGGGGGACGUCCCGCUAUUGAAAGUUCAAGUGAUAAGAUACCUCAGAUAAGUUCAUGUACAAGUAUGUCAAGUUCAAGGGAUAAGAUAACUUAGAUAAGAUCAAGUAUAAGAUUCAAUGUUAUGUGUUUUCAUGUUCGCUAAGUGAUGUUGGUGAUAAUGACCACCUGAUAUGAUAUGUUCAGUGAUUGUCAUGUGCUGAUGUGUUGUGAUAUGUUCAAAUGUUUCUUAGAUGUGAUAACUAUGUGUUGGGAUAAAUAUUCAUGUAAUGAUGUGUUCCUUAUGUUCCAAUGUGCCAUGGAUUUGAUGACUAGUUGUGAUCAAUAUUCAUGCAGUGAUGUGUUCCUUAUGUUCCAAUGUUCCUUUAGAAUGGAUUAGAGGUUCAACCUUUGAUGAUGACUAUGUUACUUGCCAUGUUGAGUUCUCAUGUGUUAGGAUUACACAAAGAUGGAUACUAUAUCUUAUAUGCCUACUUAGCUAGUAUCAAUGAUGCCUUAUACAAUGAUAUGUUUUUGUCUUCCCUAUGUUCUAGCAUGAUACUCAUGUUAUGUGUCUACAUAACUAAGUCAGAAUAUGUUGUGGUUAGAUAACUAGAAAGCAUGUCCCUAAGUAAAGGCAAUGUUUGAAUAUAGCAAUGUCUGAUUAAGGUGAUGUCUGAAUAAGGUAAUGUCUGAUUAAGAUGAUGUCUGAAUAGUUUGAUGUCUGGAUGAGUUGAUGUUUGAAUAAUUUUGAUAUUGUUAAACUUAAGUUGGAAAUCAUAUGUGUUAUAUUAGAGCAUAAUAGACUAACCCCAGAACCACCCACUAGGGUGUUUCUAAGUUGAUGCAGUAGUAGAGUUGAGCUGAUUCGGAUGUGCAGCGAUGGACUUGGUAUUCAAUGUCGGGUUUGAGUUUCAAGUGUUUAUUCUGAGACUUGAUUCUUUUCAUGUUGUCUUAUGUUGGAGCACUCUCCGCUUUUGUUAAAGCAGAUGAUCAUUUUCUAUCUUUUUGGUUGUUCUAUUUAAAUAAAGUUUUUGAAAUUCCUUUGAGUUGAGUCCCUAUAGGGCAAUUUGGUUAUUAAAUAAAUAGAAAGUUUUUGGGGUGUGUCACAAGCGCCCGCGACAAAGAGUAAAACCUGCGACCAUUGUAUGAGCGCUAAUGGAUUUAUUCAAACGUUGUCGCAGUCCGCCUAAAACAAGAGCUCGACUGCGAUAAACAUAGUGAAUGACUACCCUUCAGCAGCCGAUCUCCACUCAUUCCACACAGCUUCAACUCUCCUCCCAUCUGAAAUCCUCCUAUUCCUCUCAAUUUCCUCCAUCGAUUUUCUCCUCUUCUCUUCUCCAAUUUUGUCACCCCGACUUCCACCCUUUUCUCGAAAUCGCCAAUAUCAGCUUACUGUUACUAACAAGAAGCAUAAGAGUUCGAUUUUGAUAUAGUUGUGUCGGGCAAUCGCAUUGUGUUUGAGUUGAAGAAUCAGGGGGUUAAACCUGUAGGUCCACUUCAUUCCUUCAUGGGAUACUACAUAAGUGAGUGUACAAGAAAUUAUGCUUACUACCCGGUCUCUCCAAUCGAAUGGAAGAAGUUGUCGCCCCAAUUGAAGACACGGGCUUGGGAGCAGUUUGUGCUAGUAAGUAUUAUUUUAGUUUUUUUAAUUAGAUAUAUUUUUGUAGUUAAAAUUGUAACUAGUUAGUGCUUAAUUGAUUUAUAUUAUAAACCUCUUUUCACAUUGAGGCGAAUGAGAUGGUUGAAGCUCGCAAAUAUUGGGAUCGCAAUGUUGGAAGACUGUUGGGGGAAGUCAAGGAUCACAAUUUGGCAAGCUUAGUUGAAGCAUGCACAAAUAAACCAACUCCCUCCAUAGUGGAUUAUGAAUAAUUCCUUGACAGGUUGUCCAAUGGCUGAUUGGAUAACGUACUUGUUGCGAGUUAACGACAAGUAGUUCGAGAUAGUACAUAUAUUUACAGAUUUCUAAUUGUAUUUGAUUGUAGUUUUUAAUACCGACUCAAGAACUUUUAUGUGCUUGAGUCAUAUCAAAUCAAGCCGCUCAAAUGGAAAACCAUAAAGGAGGGAGAAGGCCAUGUGAUACAUAUGUCAAGGAAACCAUUGAGAAGAUGGGUAAGCCACCUUCUCUACGCCAGAAGUUCAUAAAGUUCUUCCACUAACUAGAUGGAAGUUACAAAUCAGAACAUGGAAUACUUGUGGUGGUAAUGACUAGUUUCCAUAUAUAUAAUAGAUAUAGCUUUAAACUAGAAGACAAUAGAAUUAAUUGAACAUCUGUUAUGUAGGAGACUAUCAGCAACUAGAGCGGGAAGGAGCACCGACUGAGGUUGGGCCUAAUGACUCAUUGGCUCAAACACUAAACAAGCCAAAGCAUCGAGGCCACGUUCGGAUGAUGAGUUUGGGGUUUACCCCACAAUGGUAAUAAUGUUCAAUUUCAAAUUUGUUCUUUCUUGGGUCGUUAGUGUUUGUACCUUGUUUGGUGAUAUUUGUACUGUUUUUUCUUUAAGGUAUUUGGUGGUGCUAGCACUUGUUCAUCAUCAUCAUCAGCUCCUUCUGCCUCUGGGAAUGCAAGUGUGUCCUCAAAUGCUGCUCCUAGUGCUCCCCCUCCCUUACGAGAAGAGUUUGAUUGGAUGUCGUAGCAGAUGGCAUUGAUGUUGCAACAGUUGGCUACAAUGUAUUACAUGAUGUCGUCGGAGCUCGCCGGUGCUUUUACCUAAGUUUUGACUCCUGGGAUAGUUCCUGGUACUCCAUUCAAUCCAAGUCCUCUAUAUCUGUAUUAGGAGCCUAUGCAGCAGCAACAACCAUCUCAACAAUAGCAACAAGCUCAUGAGACCAAUCUUAUGGGUUACUUCCCAUUCUCUCAAGAAGCCAAAAAUCAGUUUCGCCUUCAUGGGAUGAUGGCGAAGCCUUUUCUUCCCUUCUUCAUACAUUAGAAAGAGUGAGUUUUAUAAUUAGUUUCUUGAAAUUUCAAUUAGAAUUCAUGUUUGUACUUACUUGUGUUUUUUAUGUUUAUAUAUAGGUCCCCAUUCCAGACACGAGGGAGCAACGAGAUGAUGAUGAUUGUUCGUAGUUGUAUUUCUAGUUAGUUCUAGCUCUCUCCCCAUCCCUAUUCCCAUAUAUUAUGUAGUAUUUGAAACUUCUAAGAUAGUUUCUUAAGAUAAUUUCUUAACGUUUGCAUAUUAAUGUUUGUUAUUGUAGUUUGGAAUUAUUACAUGAGAUGGUAAUUAUGGAAUUAUUAUGUGUUAUUAUGGAAACCUAAAAACUGCUCUAAAUUCUAAAAUUCUGCUCUAAAUUCUAGAACAUUGAAAAAGCUCUAUAACUGCAAAGGUAGAUCAAUUUGAAAGUGAUAGGUGGCACCAUACCAGAAUAGACACAUCUCCAGCAUUAUUGUAAUAGGCUAGUCGCAGGCCCUUUCUCGCAAGUGUUGACUACGAUUGGCCGGUCACUGGUAGCGCCUGUGAUAAAGCGCCUACAACCAGCCAAUCGCAGCCAACGGCUACGACAAGGCGAGCUUUGUCACAUCAAUAAUUGUCGCAUGCCUAUUUCUAUUUGUCGCAUGCACUGUAUGUAACCAUCCUUCUAUUUUAUGGCAGGCUGGCCUGCGACAUUGUUUUGUUUUUGCUUGUGACUGUUUUCCCUUUUUAUUGCAGUGUAAGUUAUACACUUUCAUGCAUUAUUACGUGUUGAAGAUGGAUUCUAACGUGAUUUUGAAAGCUCCUAGACCGAAACGAGUGACCAUUUAGUUUGAUUCUUUUAGUAAUGUGUAAAUGAAAAGUCUACAUGCUAAAUAUAAAUUCAUAAAUUUGUUCUCAAUAAUAAAAAGUUUACUAGUUAAGAAUAGUUGAAAUAUUGAUGGACGAUGUUAAGUUCAUCCUUCCAUAAAUUUAAUUCACAAACUUAAAAUGAUUCGUAAGUGAAAUGUUAGUAUUAAGACGUUCACAGAUGAAAACAACAAAGAUUGAACAUCAAACUGUAAAGAUAAAAAUAAACUGUAUCUCAUAUUAUUUGGAAUUAAGNNNNNNNNNNNNNNNNNNNNNNNNNNNNNNNNNNNNNNNNNNNNNNNNNNNNNNNNNNNNNNNNNNNNNNNNNNNNNNNNNNNNNNNNNNNNNNNNNNNNNNNNNNNNNNNNNNNNNNNNNNNNNNNNNNNNNNNNNNNNNNNNNNNNNNNNNNNNNNNNNNNNNNUAAUAUAAUACUCAUAAGUGGACAUAACAUAGACAUAAUCCACCUAUAAAGUGGACACAAUGAUUAUAUAUAUAAUUUUAUCAUAAUAUGAACAUAACAGUGACAUAAUUUACUUAUAAAUGUAACAUAAUAGUGAAUUAACAUACUCAUAAGGUGAAUAUAAUAGGGACAUAAAAUGUUCGUAAACCAAGCCUAAAAGAUGCCUAAUAAACUUAUAACUUAGACAUAACAUAGGCAUAAAAGAAUUGCAGUAGUACUGAUAUUUAGGUUAUGUAGCAUAAUAGCCUAAAACAAGUGGUCUACUCAAAACACUAAAAAUUGAUAUAUAAUCGUAAUAUAAUUGUUCUAUGACAGUUAUCCGUUAUUAACAUAGAAGUUGUACAAACAUAUUGUGACACCUUGAUUUUGGGUUGAGUAUGAUUCUAGGAUAGUAUUGGUUUUUGUGAGUCGGUGAGAAUCACUGUCAGACGGUCCGUCACGGGCGUAUCGGACAGUCUCUCAUAGGCGUGAUCAUCAGGUAGAUCAUGAUCGUGGUCAAUGAUAGUCACGAACGUGGCAGCCGGAGGAUGACGGCCGUGACCAUCAGUAGGUCAUGGACGUGGUUUCCAUGUCACAACGGGUGAGGUAAGCAGUACGCCAUGGGUGUGGUGGACAACUUAUGAAACCUAAUUUUCUUCUUCCUUGCAAACUUCUGACGAGCGACGAUUGUUCCAGGCACAGGGGAAAGUCUUGUUGAUCGAUCCAGACCAGUAGGAGAGGCCUAGAGAUCAUCGAGGAAGCUUUAGGAGGUAAUCUACCUUCUUCCUCGUUCGUCAAUCCUUUUCUUUGAAUCCCAUGUAGGAAAAUCCUGACAGGUUUGGAUUUGGAGUUUUGGGAUUUCAAUUUUAUGAUUGUUCCCUUCAGGUUAUAUGGAUUAGGCAAGCAAACUCUAGGUUUCAGAUCAUACUCUUCAGAGGAAAGCUUUCAGAGGUAGGGGUUAGGAUUACUUUUCUGCUUUAUGCGAAGAAUUGUAAUUAGUUGUCAGGAAUCCUUGUUUGGAUUUUCAGAAUUGUACAAUAGUGUGCGAUCUACUGUAUAGAAAGAUUUGUUAUGCAGUUUAGAGUUUCGGGUUGUACAAUAGCGUGUGAUCUACUGCAUAGGCAGAUGGUUAUGAUUCGAGCAUAAGCUCACAACGAGAAACUAUGCAUUUAUACAGUUCAUGUUAGGAUUAAGAAUCAGAACUAGAAUAUACUAGCUCACGAUAUACGUUGGUCACCCACCCUAUAGAUUGUGCGAUCCCCGAGGCUACAUUUACUUUCAGGUAGGACUUGACGAUAAUGCCUUCAGUUGCUGCUCUCACGGUCUGAUCCACCAUGAGGUCAUCCGCUCAUAGCUAGGGGUGGCUAAUGUUAGGAUAAUACCUAGAGGACCACAUGGUCACAUUACUAGAUACUAGUUCAGUUUUUCAUGUUCAGGGUCAGCUGCUCAGUGCUUAUCACUGACCUUGUUACAUUUCAUUAUACAUGAUCAACCUUGGGACUUCAGGAGCCAAUGCCGCUUAAGAAAGGAGCAUGAGUAGUGACACCACCUCGCAGUGAGUCUGGGAGUCACACAGAGAGGUACCAUCGAGUACCUCAGCUGUCUCUUUCAGUGUUUUCAUAGUUUUAAGACAGUCUUUCAUGUUUUUUCAGUUGUUUGUGAGACUUAUUUUACAGUGGUUGUUUUCCCAGGUUUGGGAUGUCUUUUAGUGAUGUUCAUUUUUGAAUUCGAGCCAUGAUGCUCUGUUUAUUUUUUGCUGUCGUUUUACUUAAGUAUUGAGGAUUUUCAGUUCAGUUAAUGUAUGUCAGUUGUUAUGAUAUAAGUUUGAGUGAACCCAUGAGCAAUGCAUGGAUAGAACCGUGUGGUUUGAUCGAGUCAUCUAGGGGUGGGUUUCACACAUAUUAGUUAUAUUAUGUGACAUUAUAAUAAAUAAUAAAGGGAAUAUUGUCAUUUACCCUCUUUUACUUCACCCAACUCGCAUUAAGCCCUCUAUACAAUUCAAUGUUCCAUUAACCCCUACACAUUGCCCACUUUACCAUUCGUCUCCUUCCGUUACGCUUUCCAUAUGUACACCGUUAAAACCAUACAACUCAACAUGCCAUGUAAGUUUUUCGGCACCACAUCAGCGUUUAAUUCCUUUAACAAUUCAUGAAAUAUAAAAAAUUCCAGACACCCUUCUUUCUUCACUCUUCUCCACUCGACCCCCAACCUUUCUCACAUCCGAUGCAGCCGAACUUCGCCCCGAGGGUGAACACAAGGAGAGGAGGGUUGCUAGAUUUUGGGUGUUGUUUUUGCACUCAAAUCCGAUUCAAAAGAAAUAUUGGCCACACUGGAAAAAAGUUAUGGUUUGAUCAUCCUCUAAACAUUCGUAGCAGUGUAAUUCAAGGUCUUAAAUUGGCUACCACUACCAAUUGGAAAGUGAGCAAGCCAAUUUGUAGCGAACACCAAGUGUUCAACAAAAUUCUUAGAUGCUAAAAGACUCUUACUGGCAUCACAAACACUUGACAAGGGUGCUAAGUCACUAUUUGACACCCCCUAACAUUCCAAUCACCUAAAUUGUCACUACCUAAGUGAUUACCAAAAUGCACUCAAGGUGUUAGAUAAAAUGCCACUAAGAGAAUCCUCACACUAAUGGUUGAAUUGGGGUGUGUGCUUGGUCCACACACCCUUACCCCAAUCUUGGACUACACACUUACUCAAGUCAAGCACAAUUAAGUAAUUGAAAGAGUACAUUUGACCUAGAACAAGCCAUAGCACAUUCUAAGUUGCAAUAACCAUAGUCCAACCAUUCUCAAAUACCAUAAUCCAUAUCUAACAUGUAUCCAAAUCCUCGUCAUGAGGGGAUCAUCCUAGUACAUAGCAAUACCCUAAUCUAACAACUAAAGAGUCUAGCCACUCAUCAUGACACUAAAACUAAAGAAAAGGGAUACAAUCACCAUCAAUCAACUAGUAUGAAGAAGAUGAUGAGGGUAGGAUCCUUCCUCAAAGCUCUACUAUUCCAAUUCCUUCAAUCCUUGGUCUUCUCUAGCUCCGAAGCUUCUUCAAGGUCUUCAAUUGAUCUUCUAAGGCUUCAAAUUGGGUGAAAAUCGAGAGAGGAGUCGGGUCUCAACAAUUGUUAUGACUGUAGUGUGAAUUGUUCGUCCAAUCUCCAUGGACCAUAUGCCAUGUGGACCAACACGGGCUCCAGAUGCCAUGUGGCCUAAUUUCCAGCUUAGGACUUUGUUCUUUGAUCGCACAUAUCUCCCUCGUCCGACCUCCGUUUGAGCUCUGGUUGGUCUCAUUGGAAUUUUCUCGUUGUUCUUUAUGCAUCGGAUACCUACAGCCUCAUAUAUACAAUGAGAAACGAGGUCGAACGGACCAAAAUGAUCCAUUUGACAAAAUGAAACAAGAACCCCUUUUUUUCUUCCAACCAAUCACAAAGGAGGGUCAAAACUAGGUCAAACAAGGUAAAAAACAGUCAAGAUGUGGUCAAAUUGGCAACAAAUAAUCGUGCUAUCACAUCCCCCCACACUUGAACGUUGCUUUUCCUCAAGCAAAUCUACUAAUCACACUCAAAGAGAACUCGAAACAGGGUGAAAAGAAAAUAUUUCCUAGCAUUUCAAGCCUAUUUCACGAUGCCAAGAUUGCAAGUCAAUCACCAAACCACUCAAUUAUGUAUAAGACAUUGAAUCCCUUAAAAAAUUUCACACCAAACUCUAAUAUAUAGAUAUUAUGAUUAGAUACCUAAACAAGCGAAUGUACUAAAGUUUCUCCAAUGCACUUAUGUCAUAUGGUACUAGCGGAAGAAAUGGACAGACAGACGGUCCUGGCUGGGUAUUUUUCCCGUCUUGAGGGAGGGGAUGCCUGAUCUAACAUAAACAUAACUAUCACCAAGUAUACUAGCAUCUCCCUCUUCUUUUACUCUACUUUGCUUUCUUUUGUAUUUAGUUUUCAACUAUCUUUUCUCCCUCUUUUUUUUCACAUGGAUGCUUUUUCCAAAUGAGGUGGUUGUGAUUCCAAUUAGGCUCAGAUCCGGUGAAUACCGGGCACCAGUACCGCAAUCCACACAUCGAAGGGUUGAGAAGAGGAGCCCGAGGUGUUGAGCAUACGAGUGGCAGAUCGAAAUCUACCUUGCGUGUUUGAAUCACAACCUUCCUCCAUAUCAUUCUUAAGCACAUUGGCCUCCUGUCCAUUUUGACUUCAUAAUACCAUAGACAAGUUCAAAAAGGAGAAUCAAUCAUACAUAUCGAGCAAGUAAAGGUGAAAACUCAAAACAUCCAUAUGUGCGAGUUUGAAGCAAACUAAUUUCAGGAAAAUGGGAGGUAGUCCACAAAUGAUUACUCAACAACCUAUUCGUCCUCAAGUAGUAUGAAUAAACUAGGUAUGCAUCCAAAGAGAUUCACAUAUUCAAAUUUGAGAGGGAGUAUCAAAAUUCAAGAGCAAGUCAGAAAAAAUGCUACCAAGAUAUGCACAAAAAUUCUCAAACCCGAAUAGUAUAAAAAAAUCCUCCCCCCCCCCACACUUGUACAACACAUUGUCCUCAAUGUGAAAAGAUAUAAGGGGAAGAGGGGUACCAAACGGGGGUGAGGAGUGAAGCCGGAUGAGAAGAUGAAGGAUCAAGAUCGAGUACCUAGAGUUUCACAAAAGGCAAGAACAAAAAAAAAACAAAAAAAAAACGCAGAAACAAACACGAAUAAUGGUCGAGUCAAGAGAAAAGAAGAUAUCUCAAGGCCGUCGAGGAGCUGUCUCAACAAGAAUCCAAUCCACUUAGGCAAGAGUAUACAAGAAUGUGCACAAGUAGAUAUGGAAGAGGCAAGAUGCAUAAGAUAUGCAUAACCAAUAAAGAAGAUAACUAGUUAUUCUCAACCAAGACUAACUAGCAAUCCUAAACAAGAGCAUCCUAUAAUCCAUAAAUGAGUAAGACAAGGGUGAGAAAAAGCUAUGGAACCAUCUCAACUCAUUUAGAAUCAAUUCCAGAAAGUUAUCAUCACAAACGUGUACCAAGUCCAAUCAACAAGAAUGAGCAUAAAGAGUGUAUGCAAAGCAUCAAGUGAACAAAGUAUGCAUCAUUCAACUAUAAUCAAUUUGAGAGCUCAAUGGACUACUAGUAUGCAUCAUUCUUCUUUGACUCAUUAACCAAAACAAUGAGCACAUAUGGAUAAUCAAAAGUAGUGGCAUGAUCAAAAUUCAAGCAUUAGAAGCAAUGAGCAAAGUCACAAUCAUCAAUUCAAUAAUUGGACGCAUCAAAUUCACCUAGCAACAACCUAGGUUCAACCAUACAAGGGAGCACAAAGAUGCAAUUCCAAAUUCUCAUCGCAAGAAUUCAACAACCCACAUAAUUCUUGUUCAAAAAUAUCAUAUUGGCAAAGCUAGACAUUCAAGUAGGCACAACCAUCUGAAACUGGCAAUUGCAAUGUUCAAAUUAGCACAAAAGCAUCAUUUGACCAAAUUUGACCACAAUUCAAACUUUCCACACACUCCAUCAAUCAAACCAGAGCAAACAGAACACAGACGACACAGAUUCAGGCCACAUCAUCAACCAAAAAGUCGUAGGCAGUCAAACGAGCUUUCCAACGCCGCUGGUCUUGCGAAAAACAAACGCUCGAGCAAGAAGUUAUGCUCAAAAUACCGAACCACAGCAUUUUUUCGCACAAGGCGACCAAUCAACGGAGGGUCAACGUCCGGUGAACCGGUCUGGUCAAACUCAGGUUGGUUCGGUUUGAAAAUCGGUUAAACAAUGCACCCCCUUCUUUGAAUAGUGCAUCUUGGCACAUUUUUAACACAAUCGAGCACGUUUCGGAGCUGGAAAUUCAAGUUUUUUUUUAGAAAACCCAUUGGAACUGUAGAUUUUGCAUAAAAAGUACGCUUUAGCCUUUUGUUUCCAAAAUCAAGCAAAUUUUAGGAUCUGAAAGUUCAAUUUUUUCAGAAAACCCGUAGGAAGUGUAGAUUUUUCAUAAAAGUAAGUCUGAGCAUAUUUUUUAGUAAAACAACCAUUUUUUAGCUCUCGAAAAUAUAAAAAUUUCAAGACUGCUUUUUUUCUUUUUCCUAAUGCAACGAAACUUCCUGCUAGCCUUAGGCACACUAAGAUAAGAUCAAGCAAAUCUCCAAACACUCGUUCUCUCGUCCCGGUCAUCACAAGAACACAAGAAACAAAAACACAAACAAAACACGACAAACACACAAUCAUGCAAGUUUUAUUCAAUUUUCCUACUCCUAAGCUACACUAUUCAUGACGAGACACCUAUGGUAUCACCAACUUGGUAAUGUUCAAGAUGCAUCCCACAAAGUAGAAGAGGGUCAAGAUGAGUAGAGGAGGUUACCUCGAUCUUGGAAGGAACGAACUUUUGUUACCAUAAAGGGGCCGGAGAUGAGGACUCUAUCGCCCUCUUUGAGUGCUUGUUUGGUGGGGAGGUGCAAAUCAUGGAGUUGCUUGAUCGCUUUCUUGCAACUCCCAUCCUUGACCUUGUGGACACUUUUUUGGUGAGAAGAAGGAUUCUUGGGCUCAAGGUCUGGUGGUUCUUCAUGCAUGUUCCUCGCCUUAGCAUGCACUCCCUUGAUCGAGAUAGCUUCGGUUUCCUUAUUAUACUAUUUCACACACUCGCUCAAGGAUGGAUCCAAGGCUUCAUGAUGAAGAGAUACAUUAAUAGCAUAAACUAAAGCCAUUUCAACGGGCUCGCCAAUAUCAUUAUCAUCUUGAGGAUCCGGGUGCUCCAUACCCCCGAUCAAUUGAAAUGUGGCUUCCUUUUGACCCACUCUCAAGGUAAGCUUACCCUCAAACACAUCUAUGAUUUCCUUCGACGUGUUGAGAAAUGGACGACCCAAAAUCAAUGAAACGUCGGUGUCUCCGGUGUCAAUCACAACAAAAUCCACCGGAAACAUGAACCUUCCAACAUGCAUAAUAACAUCUUCAACUACACCACUAAGCAAUUUUGUAGUUUUUUCCGCUAGUUGGAUGCACAUCUUAGUUGUUGUAAGUUGACCUAGGCCUAGUUUCUUGUACAAUGAAUAUGUCAUGACAUAUAUACUAGCACCUAGAUCUGCUAAACCUCUUUCAAUCACAACUUGACUAAUCAUGGAAGGGAGAAAGAAACUACCCAGAUCUUUGCGUUUGCAAGGGAGGUCCCUUGAGAGGAUUGUCGAGCAUUGCUCAUUGAGAUUGAUGUUGGAAGCUUCUAUGAGCCUUCGCUUGUUGGUGAAGAUCUCCCUUAGGAACUUGGCGUAUUGAGGCAUCCUUUCGAUUGCCUCGACGAAAAGAACGGUGAAGUUCAUAUUGCAAAGUCGAAGCACAAGUUGCUUUAAGCUCUUCUCGAGAAGAUCCUUAUCCAAUUGGUUGGGAUAAGGUGGCUUAGGGUUGUAUGGAGCCGACUGGGGCUAGGAGAUAGGAGAAGCCUCAGUUGAACUCUUCGUAGCCUUCUUGGAACCAACUUCAGUUGACACCUUUGGCUUUCCAUUACUCUUUGGAGCUUUCGGAACUAAUGCAUGCGGAACCGGUGCACUUUCUUCGACCAUCACUUCAUUCUCUUAAUCACUAGAUGCUUCAUUUUUCAUUAACAUCUUUCACAAGAAAUUCAUUAUCAUGCACAAGCUUGCUAGGUACAUCGAUAGGAGGAUCGAUUAAAUUUAGGAGUUGUGGACACAUAGUGUCUCAUGCUCCUAGUUGUGAUAGAUCCACAAGUUUCCUUGCUCUUUGGAUUGGUUAUGAUAUUUCUAGGUAGAGUGCACGGUUGCCGACUUGAAAGAGCGUGUGUGAGGUAUCCAACUUGAUUCUUAAGAUCCACCAUUUGAGCUUGAGUUGAGGCAUUGUGGGUGUCUUGAAAUGCUCUUUGCUCUUGAGUCACCUUGUUGUGCUCUUGGAAGAACUUAGCUUGAUUCUCAAUCAUUUGGUUUCCUCCAUUGAAGCUCCCUUGAACAUAAUCAACUUCUUUAAUGAAGUGCUCUUCCUCCGGUGCGAAAUCGGGAGCAAGGGAUUGGCAAGUAGAGGUGGCAUGCCCUUCGUUCCCAUAACAUUCACAAACAAAGAGUUGCACAACCAGUUGAUUCACCUUUGGUUCUUGUACCUCUUUCUUUUGAGGUGGAGUGGCGGUUGGUCUCACCACCGGUUGAGCCAAGGCAAGUGCUUUGAUUUGAGCCGCCAUGCCAUCCAUCCUUGAUAGCAUCAAGUGAACAAGAUGGUUGGGAUCUUCCUCCUUAUGUCCCGGCAUCUCCUUAAGGACCUUUGGAGCUUGAGUGCGAGUACAAACAUAAGGAUCUAUGCUCACCACCUUAGCUUCUAUAGGACCUUGUUGCCUAGACCAACUCUUCAUCUUCACCGCCAUUUCCCGGAAGACUUGAAGCCAUCAUUUGGCGAGGAGUGAUCUCAAGUCUCCUCCCGCCGCUUGAUUGGUCAUCUUGGUGUCCUCAUAAGUGAGUCCUCAUAAGUGAGUCCUCUAGCAAAGGUCUCCGCGAGUUUCCACUCAUUGAAGUUGAAGUUGUGAUGAGGGCAAGAGUAGAGAAGGGCUUGGGACCUCUCCCAAGCUUCAAAGAAUGGCUCUCCAUUAAUUUUCUCAAAGUUGGAGAUUCUACUUUGGAUCUCAUCCGUCUUGUAAGGCAGGAAGAAUUCCUCCAAGAAGGCCUUUGCUAGAUUGUCCCAAGCUUGGAAGGUAUUGUUUCGUUGGUUGUCGAGCCAUUGAUUUGCCUUCCAUUGGAGUGAGAAGGGAAGAGUCGGAGUUGAAUGGCUUCUUGCGACACAUGAUUGAACUUCAUUAGAUCCAUGAUCUCGAGAUAGCUACUUGGACAUUCGUGCUCGUGCCCAUGGUAUACGUUUUGUUGCACCAUUUGAAUGUAGUUGAACUUCAACUCGAAGUUCCGGUUAUCAAUAAGGGGUGGAGCACACUUGAAGAAGUACCUUCAAGAGUUGGCUUAGGUAAUCACCUAGAGUUCUUUGAGGUUCUUGAGCCAUCUCAAAGAUGUUAACAAAUUCAUCAGCCUCUCCUUUGCAAGAUGAAACAAUUGAUGAGUGAUCCAGGGUUGUUAAAGAAGUUGCGAUGUGAGGUGGUGGUGGUGCUUGAGGUGGAGAUGAGAUGAAUCUCUUUGGUAGACGCCUUGUACGCUUCAAUCUUCUCAUGCACUAAUAGUGCAUGAACGGAACCUACACAACAAAGCAAACAACCAAGGGAACACAACAAAGGAAUAAACACACAAGAAGGGGGUAGCAAUAAGUAAAAUGGAUUAGGUAGAAUGCCUAAAUCGGUGUCUAAUCUACUCUUUCAAGGGGGUGAUUACACUCCCCAACAAUGGCGCGAUUUUGAUCCUCUAAAAAAGAACCAAACAAACAUGAUCGGCUAAGAAAAGGGACUAAUCCCAAACCCAAGGUCUCAAGUGACAAUUUUCACGAGGAACAGACCACCAACCCUAUACUCAACUAUUAAAGACACGGUUUAAGCUCACAAAAGUUCAAAAUGCUAGUUCCUUAAAUUAUCCACUAAAGUACAUAUCAUUCACAAGAGUAAUUGGAACUAAAUUAAGCUAACGAACUAAGCAAACAAGAUACUAAAGAGGGUGAACACAAGGAGAGGAGGGUUGCUAGAUUUCGGGUGUUGUUUUUGCACUCAAAUCCGAUUCAAAAGAAAUAUUGGCCACACUGGAAAAAAGUUAUGGUUUGACCAUCCUCUAAACAUUCGUAGCAGUGUAAUUCAAGGUCUUAAAUUGGACUACCACUACCAAUUGGCAAGUGAGCAAGCCAAUUGGUAGUGAACACCAAGUGUUCAACAAAAUUCUUAGAUGCUAAAAGACUUACUGGCAUCACAAACACUUGACAAGGGUGCUAAGUCACUAUUUGACACCCCCUAACAUUCCAAUCGCCUAAAUUGUCACUACCUAAGUGAUUACCAAAAUGCACUCAAGGUGUUCGAUAAAAUGCCACUAAGAGAAUCCUCACACUAAAGGUUGAAUUGGGGUGUGUGCUUGGUCCACACACCCUUAAUCCAAUCUUGGACUACACACUUACUCAAGUCAAGCACAAUUAAGUAAUUGAAAGAGUGCAUUUGACCUAGAACAAGCCAUAGCACAUUCUAAGUUGCAAUAACCAUAGUCCAACCAUUCUCAAAUACCAUAAUCCAUAUCCAACAUGUAUCCAAACUCUCAUCAUGAGGGGAUCAUCCUAGUACAUAGCAAUACCCUAAUCUAACAACUAAAGAGUCUAGCCACUCAUCAUGACACUAAAACUAAAGAAAAGGGAUACAAUCACCAUCAAACAACUAGAAUGAAGAAGAUGAUGAGGGUAGGAUCCUUCCUCCAAGCUCUACUAUUACAAUUCCUUCAAUCCUUGGUCUUCUCUAGCUCCCAAGCUUCUUCAAGGUCUUCAAUUGACCUUUUAAGGCUUCAAAUUGGGGGAAAAUCGAGAGAGGAGUCAUAUCAUCAUACAUCUUAAUAUUAUCUCUAAUUGGGACCACCUCAAUAUUAUCUGCAACAAUCUCAUCCUCAGUGUCAACCUCUAUGGCAAGUAGCUGUUGUAACUCCGUUUCUGAAGAUGAUGCAACCACUCCACUAGAGGAGGCAUCACAAUGAACAGCAAACCUACAUGAACAAACUCUAUACGAUUGAGGUUACCAAACAAAUCACCCCACACUUAUCUUUUGCAUAAACCAAUAUGCAUUAAUCAAGCUGUAGAAAAAGAGAAGAGUGGGCUUAGAAGCAACUAUUGAACAUCUCAUCCAAAUAGGAAAUCUGUCAUAAUAAAGAAUACUCAACAUCAUUAAGGCAAUCCACGUAAGGUUUAGGGCACUUAGAAACUAUCCACAAAGUCACACAAACAAUGUAAGACAUGUAAAAUUUCAUAAAUUCUUAACCCAGAAAAAUACCGAGCAAAACUCAACAUUCCUAUGACACCUAAUCAUAUAAUUUCAAAGUGCAAAGGAUGUCAUUAACAUCCUAUAUCAUACCCAAUUGAAUUCUAGCAUCAUCAAUUUCACAAAACCUCAUAUUUGAAAUUUCAAGUUCUUCAAGCUAAUCAUCAAUCUCAACAAUUUAACCAAUCAGGGCAAAGUGAACAAGGAGAAACUGGGCAAAAUUCAAUGUAAACUAGCUCAAAACUCACUCAAAGUUGAUGAAAAACGAAGGGGGGAGAUUGGGGGAGGGUUCGGCGGUGACCGACAACGGUUCUAUGGUGACAGGAGUGCGGAGUUUUGAAUGACGGCAAAGGGGUAGGAGGGUGGAGUCGGCGUCAGUGGAAUGUUUGAAAAAAAUAUGGUUCAAAAAUCGGCUAAGGCUAGAAUAUUUAGAAACCCGUGUCAACUAUUGCAUUGUAGAAGUGUCAAAAAUGCGGUAUGGACAUAGCGCAAUGUUUGACAAAUCAUAGCGCAAUGAUUGAAAGGAUUUCCAGAACUCAAUGUCAACAUUUUUUCUAUAGAUGGUCAAUUAUUGCGCUAUGGGCAUAGCACAAUGCUUGACACAGAUCCAUAGCACAAAGGUUGACAUCCUAUUAUGUGAACUUCCAUAGUUCAUGAAAGAAUCAACACUCUUUGCAUUGACGACUGGGGACAAGAAUGACACUCAAGUAUCACGUUCUAGACUCGAUCUAACUCCUACACAUGCAAAUUGACUCAAAGAAUAUGAAAAAUACUGACUCCAGACAUGGGCUUCCUUCCAUGAAGCGCUCUUUCUUUAACGUCUUUGAGCUAGAUGAUACAAGGACCUCAAUUUAGCAUCUUCAAAGUAAUGAACUUUUACUCCAUCGGUAGGCUUGGUACUGAGAUAUAGCUUGAGACGUUGACCGCUGAAUUUAAUGUUCCUUGGUCCGGAUGUGUGAUCUCCACAAAUCGGUAGGGAAAUGAUUGUGUGACUUCAUAAGGUCCCGACCAUCUUGAUUGUAAUUUUCCCAAAAAUAGUCAGAGCUGGGAGUUGUAGAGCAGCACCUUAUCUCCCUACUUGAAUUCUUUGACCCCUUGAAUAUUAGCAUCGUCGAUUCGUUUCAUCCUUUCCUUAUAUAUACAUGAGCUCUCGUAAGUAUGAAACAUGUGCUCCUCUAGCUCAAGGAGCUAAUAUUUGCAUUCUGAAGCUACGAGACUAUCAUCCAUGUUUAGCAGCUUCAUGGCCCACCAUGCAUUAUGCUCAAGCUCGACCGGUAAAUGAUAAGCCUUUCCAUAAACGAAUCGAUACGGGAAAGUGUAGAUAGGGAUCUUGAAGGCGGUUCGGUAAGCCCAUAGAGCUUCAUCGAGCCAAAUCGACCUGUCCUUAUGAGACUGAUCGACUGUGCUAUCAAGAAUCUGCUUAAGCUCACGAUUCUUCACCUCCACUUGACCGCUUGCAUGUGGAUGGUAAGCGGUCAUCAAUCAAGGAGCUAUGCUAAAUGUUUGGCAAACUCAAUAGAAUUGACCCUGAAAGUGAGUGACUUUAUCGCUAAUGAUAGCAUGAAGGCCGCUGAAACGCAUGAAAACGCAUGUAAUAAACUUUCCCACUGUCAGAACAUAGUUAGUAGACAGCGGUUGCGCCUCUGCCCACUUUGAGACAUAAUCCACUUUGAAAUGUUACAUGUACGUUGGCAGUUGAUUUUGGGCUUUAAUCUGAAUUCUGUGAAUUUUGGAAAUUGGCUGAUCAAUGGACAGUCACAGGCAUGACAGUCAGUCUAUCACGGGAAAGGUUGUCAGACAGACCACGACCGUUGUCAGCAAACAUUCAUGGGCGUGACCACUGGAAGAUCAAGGGCUUGACCAUCAGGAGGUCAUGGUUGUGACCAUCAGUAGGUCACGGGCAUGGUUUCUAUGUGGCCACGGGUAUGGUGGUAAGUUGGACAUGGGCGUGGUGGACUUAUUAUAUAAGGACAGUUGCAACUUACAACUCAGAAUUACUGAAACCUAAGAACUUUGAAUCCCUCUGCAAAUGGCAAUCAAUUUCAGGAGAUGGAGAAAUCCCAUUUGAUCUAAUCCCAAAUCAUUAGGAAAGGUCUAGAAAUCGUUGAGGAUGCUUCCAAAGCUACUCAAUCUUCUUCCUCCUUUCUCAAUCCUUGAUUGGAAAUCCUACGUAGGAAAUUCCUGACACAUUAGGAUUUGGGGUUUUCAGAUUUCAAUCCUAUGAAUUAAUCUCUACGGGUCAGACAGAACAUGAGGCUUGAUCUUGGGAAGGUAGCUUCAUAUUAGACUCUACUAGGAAAGCUAAUCAGAGGUGGGGGGUUAGGAUUUCUUUUCUGCUUUAAGUGUAGAACUGUAAUUAGGAUUGUCAGGAAUCCGAUUAUUAGAUUCUCAGACUGUGUAGUAGCAUAUGAUUUAUUGUACAUGUGUUGUGAUUUGAAGGGCUCUCAAGACUGUGCAAUAGCGUGUGAUCUACUGUACAUGUAUUACGAUUUUUAGAGCCAAGCUCUUAGUAUUGUGCAGUAACGUGUGAUCUACUGUACAUGGGUUGUGAAACAGAGCCAGGCUCUCAGACUAUGUAGUAGCGUGUAAUCUACUGUACAUGCAGUUGUUUAAUUUCGAGCAUAAGCUCAUGGUGAUUAAACUAUGCUUGUGAUUCACAGUUCAUGUUAGGACAGGAUCAUGUUUAGCUAGAUUAGCUCUCGAUAUGCAUUGGUCACCCGCCCAUGGAUUGCGCAAUCCCUUAGGUCAUGUUCAGGCUCAUGUUGGACGUGUCGAGUAUGCCUAUAGAUGCUGCUCACACGGUUUUCAGGAUGGUUUCAUAGUUUGAUCCACCAUGAGGCUAUCUACCAUAGCUAGGGGUGGUUGUUGUCAAGAUGAUGCCUACAACCUGUGAGUAAUGCAUGGGUCGAACCAUGUAGUUCGAUUGGGUCUUCUAGGGGCGUGUUUCACGGUAAUCUUCUAUAUAUGUCCCGAAAGCAAGGAUGGUGGCUAUCUCGGUAAACCACUAGCGCUUGUAGAGGUGAUGAUCCGAGACUUCCUUUGCUUCUUCCAAGAGAAAUAAUUGAUCAUCCAGAAAGAGCUCAUUUAUCUCUGCUUCAGCGAAUCGACCCAGAGAAGGCCCUUCAAGGUGCGAUAGGUGGUUAGCUGCAACGUUCUCUGAUCUCGCCUUGCCCUUAAUAGUCAUGUCAAACUCUUGAAGGAGUAGCACCUAGUGAAUCAAUCUCAAGUUCCCAUCCUGUUUAGCUAUAAGAUACUUAAGAGCAAAAUGGUCGCCGGAAUCUGGGCAGAGGUCGCCAGCGGUAACGGCCUCACUAGAGAAGAAGGGUGACCUCCCCACAAUCAUGAGGAGUUCAGUGACCAGAUCUGCAAAGUCUGAAAGAUAAGUUGCUGUUGUGCAUUUGAAUAUUCUAAAGUCUAGCUUCCGUAGCUCUGAAGUUUUGGAUGGUUUACAGUUAUGGACCUUGGUCAGAUUUUUUAUCAUUUGGAAGUUCUAGAUCAGUUAGUGUAAUGGAGGUCAUUAGAGGACUAGAGUAACAUUUAUGUCCUUAAAAUUUUCAGAUUAUUGCAAAUAAGUAAAUGGAGAAGAACUCGGUCGUUUGAGCUCCAAAUGACGCACGGUUAGAACUUACGGAUUUAUGGCAACGAGAGAAAUCAUGCCAAGUUAGGAUCAAAGGUGUCAGAUCUUCUUAACAGGUGGGGGUUUAGGAUUACAUUCUGCUUAUAAGCUUAGAACUAUAAUAGGAUGUUAGGGAAUCCGAUUAUUGGAUUCUUCAUGUGAUUCAGAGCAAGGGCUCUCAGGAUUGUACAAUAGCGUGUGAUCUACUGUAUAAAUGUUGUGAUGUGAUUCGGAGCAAGUGCUCUCGGACUAUAUAGUAGCGCAUAAUCUACUCUAUAGAUGUUGUGAUGUGCUUUGGAGUGUGGGCUCUUAGGCUGUACAAUAGCGUGUGAUCUACAGUAGAGGCAAUUAUUAUAAUUCGAGCAUAAGCUCUUGGCGUUUGGACUGUGGCAUGUGAUUCACAGUUCAUGUUAGGAUAGGAUAGGCCUAGAUAGACUAGGUCACAAUUAUGAUACGUCGGGCACCCACCCAUGGAUUGCACAAUCCCCCAUGUUAUAAUCGGGCUCAGGCAGGACGUGUUGAGUAUGCAUACUGAUGCUGCUCAUACGGUAUUCAGAGUGGUUUUAUGGUCUGAUCUACCGUGAGGUCAUCCACAUAGCUAGGGGUGGCUGAUGUUAUGUUGAUGCCUACUGGACCAGAUGGUCACAUUACUAGAGUAGUGACUACAUAGAAUUCCAUGUUCUAUUCUUAGUACAGGUCAGUUUCAAUCUCAGUUCUACGCGAGUCCAGAUAGCCACUUAGUGUUUAUCACUAACUCUAUUAGAUAUUAUUUUCUCUGGUGUAUAUGUGUGUUCGGUCACAAGAACUGGAGCUGAUGGUGGGGAGAGAGCUAGUCGGAGUUUUGAUAUCACAUGAUAUAUGUUUUGAUGUAUUUUCAGUACUAGAGUUGCAUCUCCUUUUAUCAUGUUGUGAUUUGGGAUCCGAGAUCCUUGUUGGUCAAUUUUAUCAAAGUAUUUCGGUUCAACUUUUAAUGCUUGUUUUUGCUCAUUUAUUAGUAGUAGAGAGUAGAGGUUGGUUCAGCUUGGAACCCGAUAAGAUUUCUUGAUUGAACCAGUGGUUCGACCAAAACUCUUAGGGUGGGGUUUCAGAGAAAAUGUGAUAGUGAAAUAUACAUUUCCCAAAAAAAUUCAUCUUCCCACCGAUAAGUUUUGGCUAUUUUCGUAUUUUCAUAAUUACCUUUAUUUUAGAUUGUAUGAUUCAAUUCAUUACCAAUUGUCAGAUUAUGUUGUGACAUCAUCAUUUCUAUCAAACGAACAACAUUGGCUCCAUUUAUAGGAUUUUAUCUAUUGCAUAUAAGACUAUUGGAUCCAUUUUGAUUUGUAAAAGUGGGUCCUACUUCCAUCUCAUUUUGUUUUGAAAUUUUGCAUACUUCACUUUGAAAGGCUUCUCAUUAAUGCAAUUCAAAAACAUUUGCAAAAGUGGACUUACAUGAAUAAAAUGAUCAUUUCUUAUAUAUUAUUUUAUUAGCAAAUAAUGAUAUGAGAAGGCCCAAUCCAUUGGGUCUUGAUCAGAAUGGCACAACCUAUUAAAAAUACCUAUUUUGGCAUAACAUAAUUAUAAUUUUACAAAAUAAAAUAUUUAAUUGACUUUUUAAAACUCAAUACAAAAAACUAAAAAAAUAUCAAAGUUCAUCAUAUUCUUCUCCCACCACCAUCCUAUCUCCACUAUCUUCUUAUCAUCCCCAUCAUCCAUUGCUAAACCCAACAAUUACUUUCUCUAAAUCUAUCACUUACCAAAUCCAAAAUCAUAUUCAUUUGUACACACAACCAAGUAUGCAAAUUUUAGAUAUGAUUUGUGUUGGUUUUUUAGAUCUGAUUUUGUCGAUCUCGAAGGUGAAGAUGAUUGACGACGGGGAAGGGGACUCUAAUACCCAAAUAUGCUACUGGAGAAUAAUCCAUCUUUCCAGACUAUUGCAAUUCAUACCGCUCCUUGAAUACUUACAGAGAAAGACGGCGCAUCGAGCUCAAAAGGAGAGGGUAGCGAGCAAUCGAAGGAGAGUAGAAAAAGCCGUUGCAAGCAAAAGAGAAAUCGACCACCAGAUCUCCUAGGAUUCCUCAUCUGAGGAAGCCAUCAAGAGAUUUUUUCCUAUAAGUCAGUUCAGCUACUAAAGCUACAAGUGGUGAUGAUGAAUAAGCUUCCAUAAGUGGUUCGCUGGGUAUCUCUACUUUGACCUCCUUCAUGGGAGCUCCGUCGUCGCCGCUGGCGACCCUAAAAAAGAACAUGCAUUUAAACGCGUUUACACACUAAACUAAAAAGGAGAAUGAAAGACUAUAAUUGGAAUUUCAACAACAAGAGAAAGUUAACUUCUUUUUUCUAAUCCACCGUCGGGAGGAGCAGCAGCAAGCUUCGCCCGUCUUCUUCCCUUUUGGGAUUUUUUUGAAUUAAUUAAGAAUUUUAUUAAUUAGAAGUUUAAAAUUAUAUGAUGUGGAGCCUAUAUUGAAGUCAAGUGGGAGGUACGUCAGGGGUGUUAAGUUUGACUGUUAAGUUGAUGGUCAAAUUUCAAAUAUGUGCCACAAUAAGUAUUUCUAAUAGGUUAUGCCAUUCUGGGUUUAGACCCAAUAGGUUGGGCCUCCUUAGAUCAUUAUUCAUUUUAUUAACUACAUAUAUGUUAUAAAAAUGUAUAAGUGACAAGUGGGUCUCAAAUGAUUAAAAAAUAUAAAUGAAAAAAUGGGCCACAAGUGAGAUUAUCACUUUGACUUGGAACGAGUACAAAUUUGCACUUAAAAUGAUCCUUUCCCAUCAAUAAUAUUCUCAUUUAAAUUUAAAAAUUGCCACAUAGGCUCCAUGUUACUUAACAAGUAGGGAAAAUCUCAGUGAUAAGAUGCUAUAAUAACAAAUAAUCUUGAGGCCAAAUCCAAUAACUGAGCAUGCCUUCUACAUGUCGGACUCCACCAUAUAAACACGGCCCACGUUAUAAUUGAUUCAUUAAAAAAAAGAAACAAUUUGAUGAAUUGAUGAAAGAAGCGAAAGGCAAAAGAUGGAAAUUGUCGUUUCUCUUCCUAAAACUAGGGUUUUGUUUCUCUCACUAAAAUUAGGGUAUCUCUUCGUCAUGAAGACUUCCUACACCCCCAUCGCCAUCAUGCUCAAGCACAAACCUACUCCUAUCAUCAACAAACCCAUCCCACCUACCGAUGUUGUCAUCAAAACAAGACCGACCCUUACUGCACCCAUGGCCUCCCUAUCGUUGAAGGAGAGUCAUGGCUCGGAGGACCUGACCGGAAUGACAUGGCUGACGAUUGGAUACCAGAGCUGCAGCAAUCUGGAAAGCCCCACAAAGAUUCUCCGCCGACAAAGACCAGCAGGUCAACACUAAGGAGAGGCGGUGUUCCUCCGAUCUUCGAGCUACAGGGGAGCGAGACGACUCUACCCCAUACACCAUAGUGACAUCGCCGGUGUGGACAUCCGAUCAUUCCAUUCAAAGCUCAUGAAGAUCGGCUACACUUGUGUUUGGCUUUCUUUAUUUUUGUUUAGUACUCUCUUUUUAGACAUUUGGUUGAUUUUCAGUCGUACGUUGCACUUCAUUUGUUUCCUUCCUUGAGUCGGGGUAUAGUUUUGUUAAUUUUUUUGUUUAUUUCGUUGCAUCUAAAACCGUUGAUGGUCGAAGAGAUUAAAACUGUAAAUAAAAUAUUCAAUUACCUACUUUCCCCUUACAUCUUUUCUAAAAAACAACUCUCAAUUGCAUUUCUCAUGGUCAAUGUUAUAUCACGCCUCCCUCUAUAAAGAAAUUAUAUUUUGUAAAAAAAAAAAGCGAAAGGCAAAAGAUAUCGCGAGACCUAGUUCUAUAUAAACCCAUUCCAUUCGCAGGUUACGAGCGGCCGUCAUCGCUGUCACAGGGCCAGAUAUGGGAAGCGCUAAAGCUGGCAAACCCUCAAAGAAGUCUCUCAGAAACCCUAAUCCGCUUCGCAUUACCCAUAGGAAGAUUACGAAGCACAAACGGCAAGACAUUGCUGUUGAUACAGUUCCCACCGCCCUGAAGUAGAAACACAACCUCAUAUCGGAGAAGAGGAGCCCCUUCCUUCAGCUUCCCAGCAACUCAGCUUUUUCCUCAGCAAGUUCCAGUCAGCUAAUGGUCUUCAAGGUUAGUCUCUACCGCUGGAGCUCCACAAUAUUGUAUCCCAUGACAUCUCUAUUUGGUUGCUGGACAGAGGGAUUAUUAACAAUUUGUGUAUUGUAUUUGCAGAAACAUCCUUUAUUCAGUUAUUUUGAGAGCUGCCUCAGGAUGUUGAGGGCCUAGGCCAGCAUUUGAAGACUGCUUUCGGAAAGUCAUGGAAAGAAGAACGCUGUGAUCGAAAGCUCGUGGAUAGGUAAACUGAACCAGAGAGUCCUGCUGCUCUUUUCAUUUCUACAUCUGCAUUGAGAGCAAUAGAACUUUUAAGGUAUAGAUUCUCUCAGUUCUUGUUAAUGAUCUUUGUUUUGCUCGAUUUAAUCAGGGUUUGGGCUUGAUUCAAUCUUCUUCUUUUAGGGGUGUGCGUUCACUGAGCGUUCACUGACGAAAGAAUGCCAUGCUGCAAAGCUCUUCUCUAAGCACAUGAAGGUUGAAGAACAUGUGAUAUCCUUUCCCUUUUGUCACUUGUUGUUCCUAUUACAUCGUUAAACAAAAUACUAUCUCUUUAUGUUUCGAGGUGUUGUCAUUUGUUUUGGAUAUCAUUCAGUUCCUUUUAUUAUUACUGCUGCUCGAGUUACGAACAUCUGAGGAAAUAGCAAUGCUUAGGAUGUUAUUGUCCACUUCACUGUCUCGAGACACCGACAUUGUCUUUAGUUAUUAUUUAUGGGUCCAACAAGUUAUGACUUGAACCAUGGUCACAUGGAACAAAAUUAAUUUAUAAAUUCGGACUUCUGUUUCAUCAGUGACAUUUUCACUCUUCGUCAUCAUAUACAUUUGGUGUUUGUUUGUUUUUGGUAAAAGGAUUUGAUAUUACCAGUUAUAAAGAUCAAAGGGCAGUAGCAGUGCAGGAUAAGCUUUUUUCACAUCAGUCUGCUUCUAGUUCAGUAUCUUAGUUUCAAUGAUUUAUGGCUGGAAGCAUGGAGCAGUAUGGAAUUUUUGCAAACAAUUGUUGGAUUAGGAAUUUCAUACUUCUUUUCACUGCAUUUUGAUGUUGGGAUAUGAUGAGUUACACGGAUCAAAUGCUCUAGCAGUGCUGAAUAUGUUUUUUGCACGUCAGUCUGAUCCCAACUUACCGUAUUUUUACUGCCCCUACCUUUAAAUGCAUGUCCGAGUUCUAACAAUAGAUGACUUGAGACAUGGAGCCUAUGAAUGGGGGUUCUCUGUUUGAUUUUAUGACAUUUUACAAUAAUUGUCACAAAUUUUUUUGACAUUGGAUAUGAUGAUGAGUUAGAAUCAAAGGCACUAGAGAUGCUGAAUAUGAUUUUUUGCACGUCAGUCUGAUCCCAGCCUUUCGAUUUCUGAUUACUGGAAUUUAAAAUUUUACUUUGUUUUCGUCAUUUUGACAUUGGGAUAUGAUGAUGAGAUGUAGAUCAAAGGCAUUAGCGGUGCUGAAUGUUUAUUUUGCACGUCAGUCUGAUCCCAGCUCACUGUUCCGAGAUUGUGCUGCCUUCUUGCAUUUCCUAGUUAAAAAAAUGUACUCCUUGGACAUGGAUCUAAACGAACUUCAAAAUAUGAAUGAUUAAGAUUUCGUGAUCAGUGUCAUUCAUAGUUUAUGAUCACUAAUUUAAAUCUCGUGGCAUAUCUUGCAGGGUGUUUAUAGCCAAUUAGAUGCCACACUCACUGAAAGCUUAACUUACGAUUUAGGUUCUGGUUGUGUAUCCCCCCCCCUGUCCACCGCCUUUAACCUUGUACUUCUAAGCAAUUGAUUGUAUUUCCUGAAUAAUGGCUACAUAUUUCGUAAUUGUUCAUGCUCUGCUGAUUAUAUUUUUGCACGUCUCUGUUCCUAAUAAAACUGCACACUAUUUUACGAAAAAAGACGUGCACGCUAAUAUCGUACACCAAUGUAAUAUAACACUAUUAACAACAAAAAGUUCUUAGUACGGGUUCAAUGUCAUCAUGCAACAUCCAUGAUGCCGUUCCUUAGUCUCUCUACGUGACUCUGUGUUGCAUUUGGUAAACUAUUUCUUAAACUUCUGGCUCCGUUUACUGCAGGUCACUUUCUUCAAGAAUCGUGUCAAUAUUGCCAGCGGCACACCAAACAGGUUAGUCACCAGUCAUUUCAUCUCGAUAUUGAUGUUACAAUGGGUCGUUUGGAUGAGGUAUUUGAAAGUGGUAUUUUGGCUCAAGUAACUCAAACUAAAGUUAUAACUGAGUUAUUUGGGCCAAAACACUUCGUUUUCCAUCCGAAAUAAAAGUCGUUAUAUUUCAUAACUGUGAUAUUUGAAAUAAUUAUGGAUGUGAUAUUUGAAAUAACUCAAUUUAAAACCAUAACUCAAAAUGAUAGCUAAACGAAUAAUUCUUAUCCCCCAAAUUCUUACAACUGAUCCAAACGAUUAAUGUUUACUUGCUCAUCCUUUUCGUUCUAGCUGAAUAUUUGCAUUUCCGAAAUAAUGCGCCCCACAUGAGUUCGGUAUACAUUGGUGAUUGCUUUUGCAAGUUUUCCGUGCAUGAAUUGUUGUGGUAUUCAUCAGAAAAUUACCAAUAGGAAAUAGUUAAGAGGUCGUAGAAAAUGCAUCGGGAGUGUCAUUUUAUAUUGUAGGGGCAAAAAUUGAUUUUGAUGAAUUUGAACUUUCUUGACUAGAUUCUUGAUAAAAAAAACUAUCUUGACUAGGUUGAAGAAGUUGAUAGAUAUAAAAGCAAUGGGGCUCUCGCGGUUUUAAAGUUAUCGUGCUAGAUGUCCACCAUGAUGUAAAGGGUUAUUCCUUGCUCACACUUCCACAAGGGGGAGAUAUAGAGAGAAUGUCCGGUCUCUUUUCAACACAGCGAGGAGCAUAGUCGAUUUUGUCAUGUGAAGAGUUGCUGUUGUACAAGUGUUAGUUUGUUAUUUUGACAGGACACUUUUUCAAUUAUUCAAAACUUAUAUUCUAGCUAAGCUAAGGGUAAAUAUCCAUUUUGUAAUUUCACUUGUUGCUGCUUCUACCAAGAGACAGCACACAAGGAAUUAUACUCAUCGGCUUCCUGGCCGCAAUUGAGUUAAAUCUUCUUUUCGGCCCCUAGCGUUUAAAAUAAAAUAAAUCUUUCACCGGCUACCUUCAAAAUCCUCUGUUUAUCUUUCCUUUGAUCUUAUCAAAUUUUUAUAGUGACAAAGUUUGUGAAAUUACUUAAUAAAAAAAAGAAAAAAUUAUUAAACAAUUGCUAAUAUUUAGGCCCGACAUUCGAUAUAGCACAUGUUUUUUAUAAUAUUUUUUUUUGCCCAAAUUUCAAAUUAUGUUAAUUCCUUUAAGUUAAAAUUAACGGAUUGGUGACAAAUGCUGACAAGGCAAACAAUGUGUCUGAUGUGGAUGGAUGAAAAGAAGUCAAUCGGAAAUAAAUACACAGUCAACAUACAGUUAAAAAAUUUUAUAACAAAAACCACCCACAUUCCUUAUCCUCUUCGUCGACCAGCCUUUUAUCACCCACCUGUCACCUCCCUUCUAAAUUAAUUUUCAUCAGAUGGGGAGAAAGAGUGGAAGAAGAAGAAGAAGAAAGAAAGAUGGAGCAAGGUGCAUUUGAUUUGAAUCCCGACAAUGUCGACAACAAUCUUGUAUCUAAAUUCUUUGUCGAUUUGAAUUUCGAUGAUGCCAACAACAACCUCAUUCUUGAACUCUCCGUCGAUUUGAAUCCCGACGAUCCCAUCAACAACACCAUUCCUGAACUCUUCGACAAUUUGAAUCCCGACGAUGCUGAUAACAACCUCAUACCUGAAUUCUCCGUUGAUUGAAUCUCAAUGAUGCCAACAACGACUCUCUAUCGUUGUCGAUGAAAUGCCCAAGCUUGUGGAGAGAUGGAUACAGGGAGUAGUAGCAGGUACAUGUCCAAAUAUGGAUGUUGAGAAAUCCUCCUCGGCUGUCGAUUUCGAAUGGUCCCCACGUUUCAAAUUGAUUUUAGUGUUCUUGCUGGGAGUAGGUUUGCACGCGGCUGAGAUUGGGUUUAUCUGUUUGUUGCAAAUGAAUGAAUUGAAUUGGUUGGUUUUUUAUUGGGGGUGGGUUUUGCAAGCAAGUUGAGUUGUUUGAUUGGUUUGAAGUUUUUUUUGUCUUGAUUGGGUUUUGUAAAAAAUGCUAGCAGAAUACUGACAAUGGAGGAGAAGGUGGAGGAAGGAAAAAGAAGGUGGAGGAGAUGAAUGAUUUUUUUGGUAGCUGAGUUAUUAUUAUUUAAUGAAAGGAGGUAAAUAAAAUUUACCUAACUAAGCUGACGUGACCAGUGAUUGUUAUGUGGCGUCGGACAUGGUAUCUUGAUGAUUUUCUUCUUACGGCGUUUCGUGUUUGGUUAACUAUAACGGUCAACGACAAAGUCAACUGAUUUUCGUUAGUGUGAUUUGAAUUUUGUCAGAAAAAAAUGUAUUUCGGAAAACAUGUGCCAGAUCAUUUGUCGGGUUAAAACAUUGCCAAUUGUGUUAGCUAAUUUUUCCUAAAAUAAGUUAGUGACAUUUUAUCAAGUCGAUCUACACUACAGGAAACUAGAUGUUUAACAACAUCAUUUUUUCUUGUUGACGACAACCAUUUCCUGUUGUUAUGUAUCAUAACGGCGGCUUUGAUUGCGCUAUUAAGAUUGCCAAUGCAAAGAGAUCCUACCAGCGAAAUAUUGGCCGCGGUUAAGUGGGGAAGCGUAACAGCGAAUAGCUGGCCGCUGUUAGGUUGCAUCCUAAUAGCGAAAUAUGACCGAUGUUAGACGAAAUUCUAAUAGUGGCAUUGUGUCCGUUGUAAGGAUUUCGCCUAACAGCAACUACAUAUCCUCAUAGUUUUCUUAUUAUUUUAUUUUUUUCGUUUGGCUAUUUUCCAUAUAUAUCCAACUUGUUCAAGUAAUUUUUUCGAUAGGUAGAUAGAAAUACAAAUUUGGGAAACACUUUGCUAAAUAUAAAACUAGUCAUUUUGAUUAAAUAUUUGAUUGUUAGGACACAUACUAAUUCCUUGGCUUAAACUACACCAUCCUUCUAAAGUAACUACUUGAUUCAUAGUUGUUCAUCCAACAUGUACAAUCCACUAAACAUAGACUACUCCUCUUGGUCGUAAUCAAGCUCAUCGUCCCUCUCAUUUGUUUCCAUCAUAGUGCUCGUUCACAUUUGUUUGCAUCAAAUGGCUGCCAUCAUACAUUUGGAUUUAGAACAUCUGCCUCAUCUCCUCCAAAUCAUGAGAUAAGCCAACUUGAGAGUUGGCAAGAUGAGCUAUACACCUACAAUACACCAAAUAAAAGUUAGUUUUUUUAUCCAAAAAAAUUUGCAUGACCAAUUCGAAUUCACGGUUUAACUUAUACUCUUUGAUCUACAAAAUGAACAAACGAUACUAGAUUUGGAAGGACAAGUUUCGACAGCUACAAUGAAUCAAGGAAACCUUUUACAUCUACAUUAUCAAAACAUAAUUGCAGAAUUAAAAGUAUAAACCAUGAGUAAGGUUGAAUGAUAAAAUUUUCACUAUUUAGAGGUGUCGGUUAAAAUGUGCAAAUUGGAUAAUAAAUUUGCAUGGGAAGGAUGAUUAUGUAGAUUACGUAAUAAACUAACAAAUACAUAUAUACUUAUGAUUUGAAUGGGACUUGUAAGUUAAAAUUGGAGGCGCCCCUCUUAAUUUGUACCUAUUGUAUGUUCACUAACCACCCAUAAUAAAAACAAGCAAGAAAAAUUGGAUUUGGUGGAUCACUCGAUGAAGAAACAAGAUUCGAAACUAGCCCUCAUAACUUGAUUAGGUGAAGUUUCUACCUAUAACAGUCCAACUUAGUGGUAGAAUUAAUUUAGGAUUAAUGCUGAAAAAUACAAAUACUUAUUCAUUUUGCUUUCACUCUAAAUCCUAAAUGGCGCACCACUGUUCCUGACUUCUCUUUUUUGUUCUUCGAACGUAUACGAUAUGCCCUCGCCAUAGCAUCCUCCUUGCUAACCCCAUGUUAGUAUUUGGUUCCUUCAUAAACUGUUUGACUUCAACCUAUAUUCAAUCUCAAAAUCUUAAAUAUAUUAGAAUUGCAUCUUAUCAACAAAAGGUCAAAACACAAUAAAAUUAUAUGCAACUUACAUAAAAGUCUCAAGUAACAUAUGUUUCAUCUUCUCUUUCAUAACACUUGAAAAAGAACUCAGAUCUUCUUACUUCUUUUCCUUUCGCUUUCUUCUACAUUAUACGUUCUACAAUCAAUACAAAUUAACUUCUCAUGACUUUUGGAACAUAAUAUAAAGACGAUUGAUGAGAUGCUUACUUACCAUCUCUUCACGAAUUAUAUUGAAAGGUUUUGACCCUUUCGUAUGAUAGAUGUCUUGAUUAGAACGAUACCUUGUUUCUUUGCAGAUGCAGUCUAUAAAACUGCUAGUAAUUGACAAAUGACAAUAAUAAAUAUCAUUAUAUCAAAUAUAAGUACAAAUGUAAAACUUACUAGAGUUGGCUUCCCCUCCUAUAUCUGCAAAACAUAUCCCACUCACGUUCAUCAAUAUUUGGUGGUUUCCUGUCUAAGUUGAGCUGAAGACCUUGAGUAGCAUCGAUAUUUGGUGGUUUCCUAUCACGUUCAUCGAUACUAAUCAAUUUUCUUUGGAUAUGACUAAUGUAAUGAAGAAGAUAGAAGAGAUUAAAUCUAAAACCCUUAUGAUUACCCUGCAUUCAUAAAGACUGCAAUGCAAUAUGUACAGAGAGGCGUGGACACAUAGCAAAGUCCUUACAAUUUUGACAAUUACCAUCCAAUACAAUUUUGUAAGCUACAGCUAACAUUCAUGAGCUAAUAAGUUUUGUCAGGUCGGUUACGAAAGAAAACACACUUAACUUCAUAAACAAUAAUAAAUUAUGAAAACCCCCAAAUCAAAGUUAGGGCUCAUCUAAAUCAUUAACAAAUCAUACAAACUGAUUUCAAUCUCAAAAUUAAACUUAGACCCAGCACUAUAAAUAAGAUGUCUAACCUAAAGCUAGAACAAAACACUUCCAAUUCACUAAACGGAAAACAUUUCAAAGAUCUAGAUUUUACUAACCUUUCAAUUUUCUUGCUAACACAAGAUGACUGAUUGAGAUGAUGGACAGGAACCAAAAUGAGCCGCAGCUGGAAGGCCGGAGCAAGCGACGCCGGCACGAAGAAGAAAAACGCCAGCGAACGGCCGUUGGUGAAGAUACUAUCUGGCUGUGUCCUUUGUUCAAUUUGGGGAAAGUUGGGUUUUUACGUGGUGUUGGGGGGUUAUAUGUAUUUGGAGUUUCGUUUAUAUUAAUAUAAUGAAGAAUUAAGUCUCAUUUUGUUUGGGGCUUUAAAUUAAUAACCCAACGUCGGCUUGAUUCUCUACAUAGCCGCUGAUAGGAUUACUCUUAGCAGCUGCCAUCUAAAUAAGAGCCACUGUUAAGUUGUUGUAUUCCAUCAUAUUUUUUAAUUAUUAUCCUAACAUCGGCCAAUAUUAAUCAGGGCCGAUGUUAGGUAGUAAUAACGUAUCAGUAGCCUUCCAUUUAUUGUUAGGAUAUUGACCUAACAUUGAGACCAUGUCCGUUGUUAAAUUUUGUAUGUUAAAAUAUCCUAACUGCAGGUCUAUGUGGCUACAGUUAAAUUGGCAAUAUUAGGUAGUCAGUUUCUUGUAAUGCUACCUUGUUUAUCAUAGAAAAUUUGUUAUGACAAACGUGAUUGUUGUUGUUACAUAACAACACUCUAAUUUUCCAUCUAUUUUUAAUUUUAAAAAUUUGACAGUCUUAAUUUGUUGAAUAUUUUUAAUCUUUUUUACAUUUUUAUCUCUCAUAAAUAUGUCCUAAUUUUUAGUUAAAGAAUCCUCAUUCAAUUUCUAUUUCUAUUUCUAUUUUUUUACCUAUAUUUAAUUAAGUUAAUAACUUAAUAUUUCCUUAAUUGCUUUUUACAGGUUGUCAACGGAGUUCUGGUACUCCCAACAAGUGAGAAGAACGAUCAGAUUAGUAACAGAGCACAAACAAAGGUACAAAAUAAAUUACCAUAUCACAGUCUCAGGUAUAUAACUCCAUACAAUAGCACAUUCAUGGGUACAUAACUAGACAAAAAUUAAUCAAAAAUUGAUACUUCAAUACACGAGGUAUAAAAUGCAGUACCAUAUCACAAACCCCUUUUUUUUUUUUUUUUUUUUUUUUUUUUUUUUUUUUUUUUUUUUUUUUUUUUUUUUUUUUUUUUUUUUUUUUUUUUUUUUUUUUUUUUUUUUUUUUUUUUUUUUUUUUUUUUUUUUUUUUUUUUUUUUUUUUUUUUUUUUUUUUUUUUUUUUUUUUUUUUUUUUUUUUUUUUUUUUUUUUUAUUUUUUUUCUUUUUUUUUUAUUGUCUGUUUUUUUCUUUUAUCCUGUUUUUCUUCCUUUUCAAGAUCUUGAAAAGAGAGAGAAAAUGAGAGAGAGAGAAUGAGAAAGAGAAAACGAGGGAAAGAGAAUGAGAGCAAGAGAGAGAGAGAGGAGGAGAAAUUUUUGGAGUUUUUUUAUUUUUAGUGGCUUUGAUAUUGAAAAUACUAUAUAAAGAAUUUUAGAUGAAAUCAGUCAGUUGAUACAAUUAUUGUUGUUAUGUGCUAUUAUCGUAUGAUAAGCGGGUGGGGCUUUUCUUGUUUUCGUAAACAUCAAGAUUUUAUUGGUUGGGUCUAUGAUUCCAGCCUACAUGAUACUCAAAAGGGCCCUGGUUCAUCUGGAAAUGAAAAGUGCUUUAUGAACGUUUGGAUUGGUGCUUCCUUGACUCGGUUUGGUAACUUCAAUUUCUACCCACCUAUAUCGUGUUAAGUCGGAUCACCGACCUAUUUUCAUGGUUGCGACCAAGCUCAAGAAGUCAAAUCUUCCUCAUACCUUUCGCUUUAUGGCUUCAUGGUUGUCACAUGUUGAGUUUAAGCCUUUUUUUGUCGGAAUGGAAUCGGUCUUUUACCUUUAUUCAUCAGAUGUCCAUUCGAGCUACCAAACUGAAAAAAUGAAAUAAGGAAAUUUUUGGCAACAUCCAAACGAAUAGAAGGAGCUUAUCUUUAAACUUGCUGAUGUUUAAGCUCUCGCAGCUCCUCUACUCAUUCAAGACACCACAAUGGACAUUGCAAGUGACCGGAAUACUCAUUUUUUUCACGUAUCCACCUUCCGUAGGCGUGCUCGGAACCACAUUAUUAAGUGAAGGAUGACUGUGGGGUGUGUAUUCAUUAGGUUUGGGAGUCGGUUAAUUUGGUUAAUAACCAUCGGUUAAUGGUCGGGAAGCGCUUUGAUGAUUGAAAUUAAUUAACCAAAUUAACCGACCGAGCAAAAGCCACGGUUAAUCUUACCGACCGAUAACCGACCAAUCAGUUAAAUGAUCGAUUAUUAACAGACUGACUCUCGGUUAACCGUUGUAACCGGCUCUGACCAAUUUAACUCUCUUCUCAUAUUGCAACAAGAUUCUAGGCUCUGGCUCUAGAUCCGUCGUCGAUUCAAGCCUUGGAGACCAUAGCUUCUCUUCUGGAAACAAUCCGGUGCUCUACAACUUGAUCCUUCGGGACUGGAAGCUUUCCGAGACGGCGUUGUUGCGGAUCAGUAAGGAGAGGAGGAAGCUUCAAGCCUAUGGUGUUGCAGAUCGAAGAAUUGAGAGAGUGGAGGAGGAGAGGAUUGGCCGUGGCGACGAAGGAAGCAUGUGGUGUUGCAGAUCGAAGAAUCGAGAGAGUGGAGGAGGAGAGGAGCGCUUGCGGUGACUCGUCGUGGUCGUCGUCGUGACUGCCGGCGAGAUGCUGAAAUUGAAUCGCUUGGAUUGAUAGAGUUGUCGAGAUGGAUUGAUGGAGUUGUCGAGAUGGAUUGAUGGAGAUGGCUCGGAGUUAACCUAAUUUCAGAAUGAGAGGUUGUGAUGGAGUGGGAGGCUGGGAGGGGAGGGAGCGAUUCUGCGAUUGUGGUGAGCAAAGCUUGAUUUCCUAAUUGGGGACCUUGGUUUUUUUAAUUACCGGUUAACGUUGGUUAACUCGAGUUAACCAACGAUUUUACCCUGCUCCAACAAGUACUCCCAACUGUUCCCCGACCGACCCCUACCUCGGUUAAACCGACACUCUAACCGAGUCGAUCAGUUCAUCUGUUUAACCUAUUAACCGAGACUGAUGGCCCACCCUUAGUAUUCAUCCAGCUUGUUGCUGCAAUUAGUGUCGUAUUGAUAUGGUUGAGAGAGGAUAAAAUAUGCUUGAUUUCAAGUUCUCCAACUUGAAAGGUUUAGCUGUUAAAAAUGUAGAGGUCAUGACUGAGUACUGAUUUCCAGCAAGGAGAAGUUGGAUAUUUGCUUGCGAUAAAAAAGAAUUUGGACAGUCUAUCUUAGGCACAAAAUCUAACGGAUGAGAUGGCAACUUUACUUCAGGGGCCUAUUGGUCAUUUUAAAAUUUUCUUGUUUUUCAGUUUAUUUUUCCAUUCUGUUUAAUAUUGGUUCAAGUAAAAUGAUUUCUUGUAAAUUGGGUCUAUUGAGUAACGUGGGUGGGUAGACUUUAUUGCUCCCAUCGAGCUUGACGUGAUAUUUUCUUCUUCGUUUCUUUAACAUGCAUAAAUUGUAUAUAAUACGAAAGGUUGGAAAUAUAUGUGAAGCUCGAGGUUUAUUAUAUAUGUUUCGAGGUUUAUUAUAUAUGUUGAACCUUUUUGCCAAUUGGUUAUUUUUAUCAUGUAGUGCCUUAUCAAGUAAAGGGAAUGGUUGUUUUUAUCUACUGUCACUAGCCAACUUUCUUUCUCAUGUGAUCAAUUAUUUGAUCACGCAUGAAUGACUACAGUACACAAAAGAUAGAAAUAUUAUAAAAACAAAAAACAAAUAUUAAAAAAAAAUACCUAAAAAGCAGGUACAUAACAACAAAAACAAUAACCGUAAAUAUCAAGUACAUGAAAGCGGAUGCUCAAAAUAAGCACGCACACAUUAAAAACUUUGGUACAUACAAGGCAAGAAAAUCGAGAACAUAUUGGAACUCGAGUACCGGAAUUGGUACGGUAUUAAGUACAACGUGAAGAAAUAUCAAGUACAUUAAAAAGCGAGUAUAUAACAAUAGAAAUAAGUACACGAAAACAACUCAGAGAAAUGAUAAUUUGAUUGCCAAAAUUGAGUAUGAUAAAGUAAAAUGCAAGCACGUAGUACAUGAAACAAAUAUGAGUAAGAGUACAUAAAUUUUUUAGUACAAUACAAGACAAAAACUCAAAUACAUAUAAAAACUGGACACUAAAAAAAAUAAUUAAUUAUUCACAAUUUUAAAUAAUAAUAGUCACGAUUUUUAUCAUGAUUAACAGAAGCUAGUCACGAAAAUAAAUCCGUAACUAACCUAACCGAUGCUAGAUGAACUUGUCACGAAUCUGAAUAACCUGUAACUAAGUUGUCACCGAAAUUUUCCGUGACCAACUCAUCACGGAAGAAACCGUGAACAUAUGUGUUUUUGUUUUUGUUUUUUAAAUUAGUGGCACGGAGCCAUAUGCUGUGAUAAUUGAUUUAUUAAUAAAUUAAUCCCACAUCUCCGUGGCUACUAUAUCACCAGAAUUUCCAGAUUCCGGCAACCACAAUUUCCAGAAUCCGGCAAUAAGAUAGAGUUGAUAAUUGCUUUUUUAUUAGAGUAAAAUGUUCUACAUCUAUACAUUAUGAUACCCAUAUCAAAAUUCCAGAAUCCCAAAAUUGAACAUAACGUCAACGAAAGGCACCAUGCAACAAUGGUGACACUAAGGGUUACAACAACCAGCAAAACCGAAACACAGACUGGAAAUGCUACCAAGAGAAGGAUGAGACUAGAUGAUGAGAUUGAGAUUGAGAGAAGAAAAAUGAUAGUAAGAAAUUUUGUUUUCGAGAGAGAUCAAAUGAAGAUGAGAUCUACUUCUAAUUUAAUAUAAUGGAAAUGGAGAUAUGGUUGUUUAAUGGCAAAGAGAGAAGAAAGGAAUAGCCCAUUAAACGAGGAUAGAGUCUGCAUCAUUUCUUUUUUCGACCUUUUCCCACUAAAAUGCUAAUUUUAAAAUUAUAAAUAAAAGUUGGUCACGGUUCCAACAUUUACCGUGAGUAGUUGGUCGCGGUAUUCAACAAUCCAUGACUAGUUAUGGAUUUUUUUUUAUCUAUAAGUAGUUAGUCAUGGUUUUUAAAGCCGUGAUUAAUAAAUCGUGAUUAAUCGUUGAUUUUUUUUGUAGUGCGAGUAUGAGUAUUGAGUAAAACGUCAUGUACAAAAACAAGUACAUCAAAAGCGAGUACAUAAUUAUCAAAACAAGUACUAAAACGAGAGGAAAAGUACAUAAAAAGCGAGUAUAUAAUAAUAGAAACAAGUGCAGUAAAAAUCAAGUGCAUGAAAGGAAAACGAAACUCAAACUAAACACUAAUACAAAAAAAACUUUAGUACGCAAAUAAGUAAAUACAAGAAAAUUAACAUACACAAACGAAUACAUAAGAGUAUAGUGUUUAAACAAAGCGAUUAUACGGAUCAAUACGAUGUUGAGUACAAAACAACAACUUGAGGCUUUAUCCCUCAUUUUUAGAUGAUUUUGUACUAAGUUCUUAUAUGUAUUAGUUUUUAUUAAUGUAAUCCCUCGUGUACUUUGUCUUUGGAUUUAUUUUUAUGCCAUAUCUAUUUAUUUACGCAUUUGUGUAUACUUAUAUUUUUAGAACUUUAUACUCAAAUCAAUUAAUCAAACAAUAAAACUAUUUUCUCUUUACACGAACCAACAUAAUAACCCAUCACCCCAUACAGGGUUGUGAAGGAGGUGCAGUGACCAGAAUUUUCUAGUUGUUGCUUUUCUAUAGUUUGAUAAGGGUAAGCAUCUUGUUCUAGAAUAUAUGUUGUUAGGUUAUAACAAUGCAUCUAGUUGAGCAUGAUUCUUUGGUCAAGUGUUACUGGGAUUCUUUUUGUUCCACAUCAAUGCUCGGAGGUCGAAGAGGCAACGAGGGUGACGAAGAAAUCGGCAUCACCACGUGAGAGAAGAUGAAGAAGAGGUCAGAGAGUGGAGCCGGUGGAAAAGAUAUACUAGAAGAGGUACUUAAAGUUACUUGUACGACAAAACUGCCCUUAUUCAAUUGGACAACCCCUAGAUUAAAAUUUAAAAAUGAACGGACGCGAUUCGUUUGCGGCCAGCAAACACAUAAUAUCAUGGCUGCCUAUCCGGACUCGUCAUAACUGGCGUCAACAUUACGUAGUGUUGUCAAAAAUUAAAAAGGGGAAUAUAUAAUAAUAAUAAUAACAGACGUAAUCUUGUGUAUAUAAUGAUAUUAAAACGUUUUUCAAUCGACAAAGCCAAGUCUGCGGGAGGAACAGCUAAUGGACGAACAGCCUAAGCAUAAGCCGCCUUCUUCGUAUUCUUCAGAUUCUCUGAAUCUCUACCCUUUUUUUUUGUUACGCGGAUUCCCUUCCCUCGUCUGCAAACAAAAAGCUCUUCGUUGACUUUUUAGCAGGCUUUUUUAAAAAACCUUAAUUGAAAAAAUUUGUACAUGGUUGUUGCCUUUGUUGGCGUCAGCAUGACCCAAUGCUGUUGUCAUGUUCAUGAUUGCUCCAACUCACCUGGCUGCGCAUCUGCCUUCUGACCUGACCUGCCCUCCUCCUUUUUUUUAAAUUAUGUUUCCCCAAAAUUAAAUUUAAAUCGUUACAAAAUUGGUCUCUCCUUCUCCUAUAUAUAACGUGGAAGAGCUCCUGCCAAAAAAGUCAUUCAAACUCAAAGCAGAUAAAUUAUCAAAAUAAAAAAGAAAACCCCAGUGCUCUGCCUGCCGUUAAGAAAUUAGUUUAUUGGGUUUGUUGUGUUUAUGAAAGCUGUGUUCCAGAGACUGAUAUCGUCAAGCACCCAGAUUGGCUGUAGGAAGAAAGUUGCAUCUUUUCCAUUAAUCAGAAGCGCUAAUAUGUCUGAAUCCUCUGCCUUUGAUUCUCCGAGAUUGGUGACCAAGAAGGUCCUUGCUAAGCUUCAGCGUGAAGGGGAUGGUGCUUCUGUCAGGAGAAGCAUUGGAAGGUAUAAUAUAAUAUAUCAUGGAUGGAUGGAUGGAUAUACAAUUUUCUUCUUGUCAAAAUUGAAUUAACUGUUUUCGUUUCUGUGGUGAAAUUGAAUGAUUGAAUGUUGAAUUAUUUUGGUUCAGGAGUGAGCUCAGGUCUCUGGACCCUUUCCUCAUGUUGGAUGAGUUUUCAGGUCUGCUUUGCUUAAUUACUUGAAACCAAAUUCCUUGAUAUUUUCUAGAAUUAGGAUGAUGAUGGAUGAUGGAUGGUAUUUAAUUUGUUGUUGCAAAUUGCAAUGCAUGAAGUCUCAGCUCCUGCUGGAUUUCCUGAUCAUCCACACAGAGGUUUUGAGACUGUUACAUACAUGCUGGAGGUACAGACAGUACUGGAGUUAAUUAUUUAUUAUGAAUUGAAGGCUGUUUUUUGUCCUUGGUAGUCUAUUUAUUGAUGUCUGUGAAAUUCGUGGGUGGCACUGGCAGGGAUCAUUCACUCAUCAAGAUUUUUCUGGGCAUAGAGGGACUAUUCAUGCCGGGGAUGUUCAAGUAAAAUAAUUCACUCAAUUACAAUACUACGACGUUUACUUAAUUAGCUAGCUUUACUUGAUCAAAGUCAAAAACUCUUUCUUUUUUUAAAGUAAACAACAACAACAACUUGUGUGUUUUCCUGUUGGGCAGUGGAUGACAGCAGGUAGAGGGAUAGUCCAUUCAGAAAUGCCUGCAGGAGAAGGAGUCCAGAGAGGCCUUCAGCUUUGGAUAAACCUCUCUUCUCAACAUAAAAUGUAUGUUUUUAUUUCCUUUUUUGUUUGUACUUUCCAACUUCACCAUUCCAACAGUUUGUAAUAUGGAACCAACAGGAUUGAGCCAAGGUAUCAGGAACUUCUGAGGCAGGACAUCAAAAGAGCAGAGAAAGACGGGGUUGAAGUCCGAAUCAUAGCAGGGGAAUCAAUGGAAAUCGAGUCUCCAGUUUAUACAAGGACCCCAACAAUGUACCUUGAUUUCACACUGCAACCAAGGUCCCAAAUGCACCAGCCCAUUCCAGAAUUAUGGAACGCAUUCAUUUACGUCAUUGAAGGUGAGGGAGUGUUUGGGAUCCCAAACUCCUCACCAGUUGAAGCACAUCAUACACUCGUUCUAGGCCCUGGUGAAGGAAUGAGCGCCUGGAACAACUCCUCUUCCAAACCCUUGAGGUUUGUCUUGAUUGCAGGCCAGCCACUUAACCAACCAGUGGUGCAGCAUGGUCCUUUUGUCAUGAACACAGAAUCUGAAAUCCACCAAGCAAUUGAAGAUUACCACUACUCCAAAAAUGGGUUUGAAAUGGCGCAGUAUUGGAGUUCCCAAUAGGGAACAAGUAAGUGCUUGGAUCACUCAAAACCAAAUCUCCACAUUCCCUCUCAACUUUGAAGAAGAAAAGAGUAAAGAAUAAAAAUACACAUCCACAAACACUAAAGGCCACACGCAUAUGUGAGUGAUACUCAUUUGUGUUCCAUCAUGUAUUAAUUUAGCUUUUAUCCUCUUCCAACCUUUUACUAUUCCAAAUCAAAAGGUUGAUUAUUGCAUUGUCACACAAAACAAUGAUAAUAAAAAUACUCAAUUCAUAUAAUCCUUAGAAUUAAUUCUUUUCAUAACUAUAGUAGAUGUUUGAACAAGUGAGAACAAAAUAUAAGCUUAAUCUUAAUAGUAAUAUCAACGGAUAAUAGCACUGUGUGUCACUUAAUUAUUACCCAUGUCGCACAUAAACUACUUAACUUUCUACAUUGCACAUAAAGCCACUUAACUUUGCUUAUGCUUGCAACAUCCAAAUUUUCAUUCAAUUUAUGGAUAGACUGAUCGAAUUGAUGAGUUCUUAUUCGAGAUCUUCUGUAUGAAUAACCUCCAACACAUUAAAGAGAACAAUAAUUUAUAAGAACUGACAGAAUAACUUAUUACUUGUUUACAGAAAAGAAUGAUAAAAUAAAAAGGCAAGAAUAGAUUAUAAUCAUGCCUUGGACACUGCUUUCGAAAAAAUAUUUCCCGAAUUUAGAACACCAAUACAACUAAAGGUUAAUCACAAUAUUCACUCAAACUCUAGUGUAGGGCUUGAAUGUUGGAACUUGGAAACUUAUGCUAUUUUGAUUCCGAUUUUGAGAGUGAAAACAAAGUUUUCUGCCCAUAUUAAUCAACUAGGAUUUCCCUUUUUAAAGAGAACGCAUCCACUAACCAACAUCAAAUCCAGAUUCUCCUUUCUGAUGAUCAUCAAUGAUAAGCAGAUAUGGGGAAGGUGGAGUUGAGCUCCCGAUUUCUAGGAAGCCAACCAAAUACUUCUGUUAAGCAUAAGUCUUGAGUAUAUGCGGUAUGUAACUGAUCAUUACUGUUACUUCAAGUGGUUAGAUAAUGGUUACAUCAUCUUGCUGUUGUCCGUUGAUGACAUGUUGAUAGCAAGUUCUAUUGUAAAAGAAGUAAACAAGUUGAAGAAACAGUUAUCUAACAGUUUACUAUUAAGAAUAUAGGAGACGCUAAACAGAUUUUGAGUAUGUGCAUUGAUCAUGAUAGGCAAGUAGGAAAGUUUUAUCUUUCGCAAGUUGAAUAUAUCAAGAAAGUCUUGAAGAGGUUCAAAAUGCAGGAUGCAAAACUAGUAAAGAUUCCUUUGGGUGGCUAUUUCAAGCUAUUUGAGAAGGAUAUGCCUAAUAAUGAUCCAGAACGUGCCCAAAUGCACGAAACACCAUACAUUUUUGUAAUUGAUAGCUUGAUGUAUGGAAUGGUGUGCACAAUACCAGAAAUUGCACAUGUAGUGGGAGUUGUCAAUAGAUUCAUGGGAAAUCGGGGGGAAGCGAUUAAGUACUCCUGAGAUAGUUGAAGAUUACUACUAAAAGGGUCUUGGGCUUUGAGGGCAAAGUAAUGUAGUUAGAAGGAUUUGUCAUCAAGUGACCUUGAUAGAAGAAGAUGUACAACAUGGUAUAUUUUUACUCUUUGAGGUACCAUGGUUUCUUGGGCUUUUAAGUUGCACUGUCUAACACUCAAGCUAAAUAUGUUGCGGUAACGAAGGCCAGCAAAGAGAUGGUAUGGUUUUAGAAUUUCUUUGGUGAAUUGGGGAAGAAGAAAGAGGAUAGCAUAUUGUACAUUAGUCUUAUACACUUGCAAAAAAUUCAGCAUUUCAUUCAAAAUCGAAGCUCAUAUUGAGUUGAUGUAUCACUUUAUGGGUUGAUCUCUUGGAAAGGAAGAUCUUACGGCUUAUGAAGAUUCUAGGAAGUGAGAAUCCUAUGGAUAUGCCGACUAAGGUUGUAAAGUUGGAGAAGUUGACACUGUGUAUGACUUUAACUGGUUUUGUAACUGAAGUUGAAGGUCAGAUGCUGCUUGUAGUAGGAAGACGUUGAACAUGGAGAACCAAUGAGAGGAGUAUGUCUUCAGGUGGGAGAUUGUUGGGUUAUGGUGCCUAAGAAACUGAAGGCUUGGUCCAGUUAGUUUGUUUAGUUAGAUAAAAAUUAAGAUUAAUCUUGUCUAUUCUAUAUAGGAUUAGAAUUAAUAUGGUAGCUCCCUAUAAAUAAUCUAUAUUCAUAUCAUUGUAAUCUGUAUCACAACAAUAGUAGUCGAAAUCCUAACUUGGUUUGUAAAAAAAGAAAUUCUAGCGUGGUAGCGCCCUAGACAUACUCUUCUCGUGAAGAGGAACUAGGUUCUUAAUUUUUCAGUUUAUGAUUGCGUUUCAUUUUUUACAGGAACGACCAGAUCCAGCUCAGAAACUUCCUCAAGAUGGCGACGUUGAAGAAGCUCUGUCUCGCUAACGCCUAACAAUGGCUUCUCUAGACUGAUUCAGACUGUCCUCACCGCUGGAAAAGGAGAUUAGAUAGAAAUCCAUCUUUUAUUCCUCUUCAUUGUUUUUAUGACAAUUUCUUCUUUUCUUUUAUAAUAGAGAACUAUUUAUCACUUUUGUUGGACAUUUCUUGUUUGUUUCCCUCAAGAACUAAUAAUUUUGGUCAAUGGGUGACCACUGAUGAUGUUGAUUCUAUAAGCUUUAGUAUUUAGUCAAAUUCUUGAGUUUUUUUCAACUAGAAAAAAAAAGAAGAGAGGUUACAGUUUCAAUUAUUAAGUUUGAAGAAUUAAAGAAAAAAAACUAGACUACAGAUAUGAAAAGGUAAUUCUGAUAAUUUUUAUUGAUGAAUUUUUUUUUUGUAAUGAGUAAGAUAAUUUUUUAGGUUUUAUAAAUGGGUUUUUGGUUAAAAAUCUCAUUUAGAUAGAGUUUUUGAUGGGUAAUUAUGAAAUUUGACAUAAAGGGUACAUGAUUAAAAAGGUGGGAAAGGAAGAUGCGAAAAGAAGGUAAGAAGGAAUCAAUUCAUGGCAAAAAAGAAAAAUAAAUAAGAGGGAAGAAAGAAGACAUAUAUUGAUGGGAGGCGGAGGUGGGAUAGGGAGGUGAGAGAAAGAUGUAACAACAAAGAAGGGUUUAGCGAAAGGUGNNNNNNNNNNNNNNNNNNNNNNNNNNNNNNNNNNNNNNNNNNNNNNNNNNNNNNNNNNNNNNNNNNNNNNNNNNNNNNNNNNNNNNNNNNNNNNNNNNNNNNNNNNNNNNNNNNNNNNNNNNNNNNNNNNNNNNNNNNNNNNNNNNNNNNNNNNNNNNNNNNNNNNNNNNNNNNNNNNNNNNNNNNNNNNNNNNNNNNNNNNNNNNNNNNNNNNNNNNNNNNNNNNNNNNNNNNNNNNNNNNNNNNNNNNNNNNNNNNNNNNNNNNNNNNNNNNNNNNNNNNNNNNNNNNNNNNNNNNNNNNNNNNNNNNNNNNNNNNNNNNNNNNNNNNNNNNNNNNNNNNNNNNNNNNNNNNNNNNNNNNNNNNNNNNNNNNNNNNNNNNNNNNNNNNNNNNNNNNNNNNNNNNNNNNNNNNNNNNNNNNNNNNNNNNNNNNNNNNNNNNNNNNNNNNNNNNNNNNNNNNNNNNNNNNNNNNNNNNNNNNNNNNNNNNNNNNNNNNNNNNNNNNNNNNNNNNNNNNNNNNNNNNNNNNNNNNNNNNNNNNNNNNNNNNNNNNNNNNNNNNNNNNNNNNNNNNNNNNNNNNNNNNNNNNNNNNNNNNNNNNNNNNNNNNNNNNNNNNNNNNNNNNNNNNNNNNNNNNNNNNNNNNNNNNNNNNNNNNNNNNNNNNNNNNNNNNNNNNNNNNNNNNNNNNNNNNNNNNNNNNNNNNNNNNNNNNNNNNNNNNNNNNNNNNNNNNNNNNNNNNNNNNNNNNNNNNNNNNNNNNNNNNNNNNNNNNNNNNNNNNNNNNNNNNNNNNNNNNNNNNNNNNNNNNAUGGGUUUGUGGUUAAAAAUCUCAUUUAGAUAGAGUUUUUGAUGGGUAAUUAUGAAAUUUGACAUAAAGGGUACAUGAUUAAAAAGGUGGGAAAGGAAGAUGCGAAAAGAAGGUAAGAAGGAAUCAAUUCAUGGCAAAAAAGAAAAAUAAAUAAGAGGGAAGAAAGAAGACAUAUAUUGAUGGGAGGCGGAGGUGGGAUAGGGAGGUGAGAGAAAGAUGUAACAACAAAGAAGGGUUUAGCGAAAGGUGAUAUAAACAAAAUUAAUUUUGUAAGAAAAUAUUUUUUUUAAUGCCAUGUCAACUAGUUUGUAACUUUUAGUGUCCAUGUCAACAAACAAAAUUUUAUAAAGUUACCAAAAUUCAAAAUUUGUGUUACGAAAAGUAUUUCUAAUAGAUUGUGCCAUUUUCGGUAAAGGCUUAAUAGGUUGUGCAUUUAAGAAAAAAAAUAUUAUUGUGUUUCUACAAUUAACAUCAAUUAUCACCAAACCAUUAAAUACUAAAAACCAAUUAAGAUAUAGUCAUGUUACAAAAAAUGACUCUUGUUAUGAUUUUUUUGUUUAUGCAAUGAUAGGAUGAGAUUAAAAGGUUAAUUUCUUUUUCGACAAAACUUGUAAAAUAUUAUUAAACUCAAUUAGAUAUAAUAUCAUCUACAGUUGGUCAAUCAAAAAAAUUGAGGGUCUAUCCACCGAAACAAUCGUGGAGUUCCAAUGAGUCUGAUUAUACGCCAUAACAUGGGUAAGCUUGUUAACUUAUCUCCGGCCAUGACGCCAAUUACCACAAUCAAACUUUGCCAAAAGGCAACGAAUUAUGGACUAAAAUCCAUGUUCGGUAUGAUGAUCUUCCACAUGAUGCAAAGUCUCAACCAUGAUCAAGCUAUCACUUUCAAGAACCACAUUAGGAUACCUAUGUUGCAAGGCCAAUUGUUAGCAAAAUCUUGCCUCGACCGCCUCAGUUAAAGUAGGCUCAUAGCAACCCUACAAUUUCAACAUAUCCGCCAUUAAGUAAUGCCGAACGCCAUCCCAGAUAACCACCCCAAUACCCAUUCUGGAUCCUGUAAUGAUAGUUGCGUUUAAGGUAGUGAAACUGGUGAGUCAACAUGGGAUCGAAAAGGGACCUAGAAUCGUAAUCGUAAAAUCAAAUCGCAAAAUCAUAAAAUUUCACGGUUCUUCAAUAAUACUAAAUAUUCAGAAAUUCACCUUAGCAUAAAGACGUAAGUUCAUUAUCCAAUCUAAAAUUAAAAAUAAAAUCUCAAAUUCACCUUAAUAGGUUCUUCAGUUGCACUACUUUGAGCUGAUUUUCGAGUCUAGGAGACCGGAGACAAAAUCUGUGAACAAAAUUGUACAAUCUUACAACAAAAAACAAAAUACCUUCGAACAAAGAACCUAAACACCAAAAAUCCAAAACUAAUCUAACAAAAACAGAAUUAGAGAAAGGAAUGGGAUGAUGAGCAAAAUCAUGGAAUGGGAUGAUGAAGAAUCAUGGAAUCAAGGAAACAGAGAUACCUUCGAGCCGUAGGAGUGGCUGGAGCGAUGGGGACGACCAAAGAGGCUAUGACGAGGACCAUUGACUCCUGGUUCUGGUCUUCUAGACUUCUGGGGGACGACCGACGGGGGAGACGACAAGAGAGAAGACUGAGGAUCGAGCAGAGAUCGAACGAGCAAUCGACGACUUGCACAAUUUUUUUCAGAAGAUAAAUGAAUUUAAGGUUCGAUUUUUUGCCCAAAAUUGAACUCGGAUUUCCGUUUCGGUUCGAACCGAAGCAUAAAAACCAGCGGUCAGCACAGAGUAGUGGACUCGUGAAUCGUUGUAAACUCGUUCGAUUCCACGAUUUUCACGAUUUUGCGAGCGAUUUCAUGCCAUUAUAAGCCAUUUUGAUUGCGCGUGAAAUCUGACUCGACGGACCUAACAAAACUCGUAAAAUCGUCGAUUCCACUUCCUUCGUUGUGUAUGUACUGAUAUGGGGUUCCUGGUUUAGUGGUUGAACCGGGGUUGGACCGUUUUUAAACCGGGUCGGCCAUUUUAAAUAUUACAUAAAGUUAAAUCGGACCGAAAAAAUAUUGGAUUGAACGAAAUCAAACUGACAGUACAAAUAGUCAAAUUUUGAGAUUUAACCUUUGAAAAUUGAACAAUUUUAAAAAAUUUAUGUACAUUAUGAUGUUAUUCUUUUUUAAGUUUAUGUAAUAUAAUGAUAUUAUCUAUAGUUGAAGUCUUCCACACAUAUAUAUCUAGAAUGCUAAAGAAACCCUAAUGGAUCUUUCAAUCUUUCUUUAAUUGGGCUCCAACUACUCAAUACCCUCUCUCACACUUUUUUUCUCUAUAGAGAAACUCUCUCCCUUUUUCAUCAGAUUUUUUUCUCCUUGUAAUCUAAUCUUAUUUUUCUAAUAUUUUCAUUCUAUUUCUUCCCUAUUUGUCUCUUUUACUUUUUUCUUUUUGGAAGGUUAUUAGAAAAAGAGGACCACUAAAUAAUUCCGUCGACGUCCAGCAAUAGGGUUUUCCAAUUUUUUCACAGAUGGAUCCAUGUUUCCAAAGUUCUUUUGUUUUUUUUUCUGAUCUGAUAGUUGGUUCUUUAACUAGUUGAAUUAUCUGGUUUUCCGGGGAAAUCGGGUCAAUCCUCAGUUUUGUUCAUUCUCCUCAACCGCUAACUCAGUAUUGAUCAAAUGAUCGGUUCACAGUCGGACCGGCCGGGCUGAUAUGGUUUUGCUAACAUUGAUCUUAGUAGAGCCGACUAGAGGCCAUUCCAACCGAGCCACAAUGGCCUCAUACGAAAAACUCCUAGUUACCCUGAGUUCUUGAUAAUAAAUAAGAAUUGGAGUGCUUGUGCUAUGAUAUCACACUCCAAUUAGUGAAACUCAUUAAGCAUACACACAUUCCUUUCUUUCCAUCAGAAUCACAUAAGCAUUACCCAUCUUUCCAACUCCAAAUUCAAAACUUUGCGGUUGCUAAGUGAGAACCAAUCGCAUCAGUCAUUAGAAUCAUCAAAAUCAACCAGUGAUCAUGUUUAGAGUUACCUCAAAUCCGCCAAGUCCAUUGGCAAUCUCGGAAAUAGUGAAUUUGCAGGCAACCUGCAAAAUGGGCAUAUAUCACCAUGUCGAGGAUUAUGCUUAUACAUAUUAUACCUGUAGGUAAAAUUUACGAUGAAAUUUUCAUAAGAACUGCUCACCUUCGACGGAAUCUACAAUGACCAAGAACAAUUCCAAACAUCCGAGUUGCAAUUUGGAUUAAGACCCACUAAAAGAAAACCGUGUCCAUUAUUACGGAUAAAACCGGCCGUUGUCACUGAUAUUUCCAUGUCCCUGCCUCGUUGUCGCGGGAAAAUCAUCCGCGACAACGGGCGCCUUCAUAAUGAGGGGUGNNNNNNNNNNNNNNNNNNNNNNNNNNNNNNNNNNNNNNNNNNNNNNNNNNNNNNNNNNNNNNNNNNNNNNNNACGGCCGCCUUCAUAAUGAGGGUUGUGGGGACUAAACUAUCCGCGAAAAAUAGGGUUGGCGCGAACCCGUUAUGACCGGUUUGGUUCAAAUAGUUAGGUUGAAAGGCAUUUUAACAAGUUUAUCCGCAAAAACGGCAAGAGAUAUCCGCGACAAUGGCUAACAACAUUUGUUUUGCCGUCAUAACGGUUCCCCUAACGACGUUGAGUUUAUCCACGGCCAAGGUUGACAUUGUUAGUUUCUCCAUCCUACCCGUAAUGGUUGUUGUGCCAAAUACUAGGCCAUAAUAUCUGCGACAACAGCUCAAGUACUGCCUAAAAUUUUGUUAUUUUUGCUUGUUUCGUCCACUGUGGGCGCCUAAAAUAAAAGUUUAUAUAUGCACUAUUCUACACAUAACACAAUAUAUACCAAUAUCAUUAGCAUAACGAUAACACAUAUGAUCAUCCAAGAGUUAAUACUAUAACAUAAUCCAUAGAUCUACUCCAACAUAAUUCCUUGAUUUUUUACCUAACUAAAGUCAUUAGUUCACUAGACUACAUCACUAUCAACCUAGAUAUAACUACACUAGAGACUCGUCAUCCUCAUCCUCGUCAUUAUGACCAAGAUCCUUAUUAGCUCAAGUAUACAAAAGAAGAUAUAUAAAAUUGAAAUUAGGUUAAAACACAUAAAAUUAAGUAACAUGAACUUUAUAACAUAUAAAGAUUACUAAUAAUUUACCCGCCACAUCGUAGUCGUAGUUCUGUUGGAUGUGGUUAUAUUAUAUUAACCGCUACAAUCGUCGUUACGGAUCAUUAUCCGUGUCCGACGAUGACCUAACCGUGACACCCGUUAUCGCGGAUAUUAUCCCCCAUAACUAAUCUACGUCAGACAUCAAAUUUUGUUGUAGUGGCCAAGCUAUUCUUUAAAGCUAGUCAGCCAGUUUUAAUACCCCUAUUUUUUCGAAUAAACAGCUUUACUACUUGAAAUCCAAAUAAGCAUUCCGAUUCUUGAACAUCGCAAUGAAUAAUUUGCACGAUAGAAGUUGAUAUAGUUGACCAAAAACAGCUUUCAAUAAGAGCAGUAUUCUACUGAUAAGUCGUUCGAUUAACCAACUCACGAACUGUAGCAUCAACAUCAAACCUCAUCGGCGUAGAGGUCACAAAAUUACCGGGUACUAACGGAAGCCAUCCGUCUCCCCAAAUUCUAACGGACAUACAAUUUCCCACCCACCACCCAAGGCCACUCCAUACAAAACAUUGAGCACCAAAAAGGCUAUGCCAUAUAAAGCUAAACCCAACUCAGCUUUAAAGACAUAAUAGAAUUUUUAAAAUACUUAGCUUUCAUAAUUCUUACAAUAAGGGAAGAUGCUCUUGAGUGUAAGUUCCAAAGAUGUUUAGCAAGUAAAGUAAUGUUAAAGCCUAAAAAAUCACAUAAUCCCAUCCUAGCUUCGGAUUUCAAACUCAAUAGAUAUUCUUGACAAAAUGAGGGAUGAGCACUGGGUCGGGUCACCCAUCAAAACCCACCCGCCUAUAAUCACUCUCUACCACUACUACCCUUUUCCCCAUCACCAUAAAACUUUGCAUGCUUGUUUGUGUGUUUUUGUAGUUUUUUUGUGUGUUUUAUGUCGCUUUUCAUCGUUUGAGUAGAGAGAGAGAGGGAGAGAGAGAGGGAGAGAGAGAGAGGGAGAGAGAGUAUUUCAAGGGUUGCAUGUCAUACCAAUGAUUAAGAAUGCAUGAUAGAAGGUCUCGAUUCAAAUUAGGGUUCGGUCGGUGUCUGAUCGAAGGACGAAUGAUGCUUGCAUUAUUUUAUUUUUACUGAAAAAUUGGGCUUCUGGAGCAGCCUUUAGAUCAAUCUCAAGGUGUGUGGCUUUGCAUAGUGUGUGUCGUUUCCUUAAGUUUCUCUCGAUAGAAAAUCGAGUUUAUGGCGUGUGAUCCCACAUGCCAUGUGACUGAUUUUUGACAAAACGAACCGACCAAAGAACAACCAAAAACCCAACCGGCUCAAACCGUAAUGAACCAGAUUGAUUUUCAAACCGAUUUUCAACCAAAUCAAACUGAGUUUGACCAGACGCAUUGACCCUUCGUUGACCGGCCGUUGCCCCCGUUGACCGGUCACCAUGGAAGAAAAAACAUGGCAGUUUAGUAGUAUUUUGGGCAUAACAUUUUGCUCGGGAGUCUGAUUGACACAAGGUCAGUGACGUUGGAAACUUGUUCAGUUGCCUACAACUUUGAUGUCAUGAUGUGGCCUAAAUCCAUGCAGUUUGUGCUCAUUUUUCUUGGUUUGGAUUGAUGGAAUUUGAGAAAGUUUGAAUUGUGGUCUUGUUUGGUUUGAUGAUUUGGUGCGAUCGUGAUCAAUUUCUUGAUAGUAUUAUAGUGAUAUGUUCAUUGCAAAUGCUAACGUUUGGGAUGGUUGUCCAAAAUGGAUAAUUCUAGCUUUGCAAUGUGAAGAUUGCUGGAUGUUGAGACGUGAUCACUUUGUCACUCUUGUAUCGAUGGCAUGUUGUUGAUUUUCAUGAGAACUUGGAAUGGCAUCAUGAUGCUUCAAAGUGUGGUUGAACGUAGGUUGUUACUAGGCCUGAGAGUCGGUUAAUUUGGUUACUAACCAUCUGCUUAAUGUUCGGGGAAAAUGAUUUGGAGAUUAAAGUUGGUUAAUCGGUUUAACUGACCGACCAUAUGUAAUGGUUAAAAAGCCGACCAAUAACUGAUAAAUCGGUUAAAUAACCAAUUAUUAACCAACAGAUUAGUCGGUUAAUCCUAUGAACUGACUUUGAUUGAUUGACCGACUAUACCGACUUAACCUAACAAGAUCUGAAUCUCCAUGCUCAUCUCUGCCAUCGAGUGAGCCACGUUCUGCUCAUGAUAACCGUUCGUCCAAGCAUUCAUACUCUACUAAGAAAGCUUGCCAUGGCCGCCACUCUGAACACCGGUCAAAGAACUGAAUACUUGUUCCAAGAUCCGAACUUCCAGAACCGUCUCCAAUCCAUCUUCCCAAUUGUAGUUUGGACAAAGUUUCCUCAUCUGAAUUUUUACUCAAUCACACAACUACAACCUACACGACAACCAUAAUCAAUAGAGUGGAGGGGGAUAGGAUGAAACAGAGGACUGGUUGAAAUUAUAUGGGCCUAUGUUGCAUCCUCAAUAGCUCGUCGUCGCCAAGCCUCACUGAGCCGUCCCCGAGAGAGGAAGAGACGUAGAGUCUAGAGAUCGUGCUUUACUAGUGCUCAACACUCAUGGAGCCGUCACUGAGAGAGGAACAUAAUCCCUAAUGAAUCGUGAAAUCGAGAAUGAACGGGGAUAAGUGAAUAUGUUUGUGUGUGUGUGAGUUUGACCUAAAAAUGGGGGGAUUGGGAAUACGACGUAGACAUUUGGGUUCAGACUUGGGGUUCUUUUGACCGAUUAAUGUUGGUUAACACAAGUUAACUGACGGGUUUUAACCGAUUCACCGUUUAACUGAAGUCAGUUUUUCUCUUUGACCGUCCCCCAACCAACCUGUAGCUCGAUUAAACCUUCCUCUAACUUAUUCGGUCGGUUAAUCAAUUUUAAACGAUUAACCGAAACUGAAUUCCUACCCUUAGUUGUUACUAGGUGCUUUUGUUGCUCCCAAUUGAUGAUUUGUGAUUAUUUCCAUGCUCAUUUAAUUUGCUUCCAUUGCUCAUAUUUUGUCCUACCAUUACCCUUGAUGACUCAUUGGUUACUCACUGUUUUGGUAAAUGGUUCAAAGAAGCAUGAGGCAUAUUACUAGUCCAUUUGUUCCUGUAAUGAUAUAUCUUUGACCUCACCUUUUGGUAUAACUUGAAUGAUGCAUACGUUGUCACUUCAUGCUUUGCAUACACUCUUUAUGCUCGUUCUUGUUCAUUGGACUUGGUCAACAUUUGUGAGGAUUUCUUUGUGGCAAUUGAUGAUAAAUGAGUUAAGGUGGUCCCAUAGCUUUUGCUUACCCUUGUCUUACUAAUUUAUGAAUUAUAGGAUGCUCUUGUUUAGGAUUGCUAGUUAGUCUUGCUUGAGAAUAACUAGUUAUCUUCUUCAUUGGUUUUGCCUUUCUUUUACAUCUUGCCUAUGCCAUGUCUACUUAUGAGCUAUUUAUUGCCUAUCGUUGCCUAAUUCGAUUGGAUGCUUAUUGAGGUGGUUCCUUAGUGGCCGUAGGAUUAUGGGUUGACACCUCUACAUGCUUGAUGUGUAUGAUUAUUCUCCAUUUCGAAAUUUUCAAUGAUACUUUAAAGUCAAAUUUGAAUGCUCUUUACAAAUGUGUCAAUUUUGGCACAGUUUUCAAGGAUUCAUCAUUUAGUGUUUAUAAUUCAUUUUCGUUUUAAAUUUUCGUUUCCCACAUUUACUUUUCAUGUUUUGUUGCUUUUAUUGUUUUAAAUUUUAUUAUUUUUAUUUUAAUAGGCUUACUUUCCUUGUAUAUCCCCAAUUGUAACUUGGUAUCCGUAUUCUCAACUAAAUCAACAAAUGACACCAAAUAACUUAAAAUUGAGAACUAUAAGAGCUCAAAAGAAGGAGAUUUAGCAGAGUCUCUUAUAGGUUUCAAAAAAGCGAGGAAGGAUCUUCAAGUGGAGAGGACCCUUUCUCCUCCCUAACUCCAAUGGCGAACAAAACUCUAGCAUUAGACCACCUAAAGUCAGACGAUAAGCCAUGCAUUCAUCUCGUGGACUUUAUCUUCUAUUGCGACACCAUCAAGCUACACGGUGUUUCUGUUGAGGUUCACAUCGUGUUCCCCUUGAGUUUCAGCAACCAUCCACUCCAAGCACCUUAAAUCAUCCGUCUUAGUUUCUGCUUGUCCCCAAACACCGUACAUCGCAUGUACUUCGUGAUUUUUCCAUUCUUUGAGGCAUUUAGCUCCUCCUUGUACAUCAUACAGUUAUGAAUAAUGCCUCGACGUUGUUGUGUGCCUGAAAUUGAUAAAAAACACAACGCAACAACAUCAAAUGGACCCCAAACGGGUAUGAGACACUAAAUCGAGAUAGAAGUUACAAAUGCACAAAACAUCAUGUCGUGAAUGUUUCGAUCCGCGACACCGAUGGCUUGAAAUAUUUCAGAGUCGCCACCAAUCUGUUGAAGCGGAUUGGACGCUGUCGACAUAACCCAGGUCCUUUUGGACGUGAGUUAGAACAGGUCUGCGGAACAGAGAUCCUGGAUUCGAGAGGCGGUUACGUGCAGGGAAGGAUUAGCACCCCCAUAGCGCCCGUCAAACCGGUACUACUAAAUUUGAUAAGUUAUGUUUUAUUUUCUUAGUUUAGUGGUUUAAUUAUGCUUUAGUUUGGACGCAUAAGGUUAUGUAAAUUUUUUAGAGAAUAUUUUUAUUCAAUUGUAAGUCUUUAUGAGUUCCCACUCUUGUGGAAAUUUUUUUUUAUGUUGAUAAAUAUUUUGAGUUGAACAUUCUUAAUUUAAUUGUUUGGAUUUACGAAUUCCCAUUCUUGUGGAAAUUUUGUUUUACGCUGGUGAAUAUUUUUAAGUUGGUUAUUUUUAAUUUAUAUGUUUGGACUCAAGUCUUACGACUGCCUACGUACCUAAUUCUUUGGGAUCAAAGAUCAUGUAGUUCGUUAUGGAAAAGUUGAUUUGAGGAUUUUUUGUAAUUUUUACUAUUAUAAAAACCACGUUAUCAUGCUCAUUUUUUAUUUGAAAGACAUUUAUUUGGUUAUUUCAAAGUUGGAACUUUAUUUGCCCACUUAUGAUUAAAUGAUAAUUCUACAAAAUUCGAAACUCUUGUCACGGAUACGAAAUUCAUAUAACAUUGCUAUAAUAUCUUUAAAGGAUUAUUAUUAAGGAAAUUUCACAUUUUUUGCCAAUCGAAAAAUUAAUUGGUUUAUAUCAGUUAACUUAAUUUGACAUAAUUAAAAAUGCAUUACAAGACGGUUAACGAACUUACAUUUAAAUAAAUAUGUCACAAGUAUUUUUGGUGAUUUGACAAUUCUAUUGUGGUUAUGUUAAUGUUAAUUAAAAUGAUACGUUGAUUUGAAUAAUUGUAAAGUUUUGAGUUUUUAAGUUUACAACUUUAAGGUAUAAAUAUCAAAUAGGAUUAAAGAAGGUAUGACGUUUAUUCUGUUAUUCUUCCACACUUAUUUCACUUUUAUUCCACUCUUAAUAUGGCCUUAAUGAUAUAUGAAUAUAAUUGAAUCGACUAAAGGCUUGGCCUUUCUAAAUUAAUUGUGCCCAAGCUCGAGCUCGGCCCAACCGAACGAUGAGCCGAACCGGCGGGUAAGAGGAGGGCAGCCCGCGUGCCAAACUGGUCGAACCGGUUAUCCACGGUUCGAUCAGAAAACUCAAAAAGAUGAAAUUGCCCCUAGCGUUCCGUGCGCUGAAGAAGGGUGGCAGGGGAAAUUUUGUAACUUCACCUUAAACCUAAUCGGCCUUAUAAAAGGGCCUCUUAAAUCGAGAAAUGACUCAUUUGCAACUUCCCACUCUCUCUUUAUCAUCCCUCUUUCUAAACCGCCGCCCUUCUCCCCCCCCCCCCCCCCCCCCCCCCCACCCACCUUUAUCACGGAGUGUGCUGUUUUUUUCUAGUUCCUUUCUCUUCUUCUCAGCCGCCCUUUUUUGCCUCCUCUUACCUCUCAGGACCCCUCUUUCUACCUCCGUUUUUUCGAUUUUUCCAGAUUUGGACUUGCAUGUCAUCGGAGGAUACUCCGGUGAGUCCUCCGGCAAAAUGCAAGUCUCGAUCUGUAGAUCUAAUGUUUUAUUUUGGUAUUAAACAAUUUUGGUUAUUUGAGGGUGGUACCGACGGGGGUGGCGGGGAGGUAGAGAAAUGGAAAAAAGAGAAAGUUAGGUAAGUAAGAUUUCUUCCCUAUUCCUUUUGAUUAAUGUCUGGUUAAUUGCUAACGAAGCUAACUACCGGUUUCUUUGAUGACUUUUUUUAUGUCUUUGAAAAUGGGCAUAGUCGACAUGUUUUGGAAAAUGAGAGGAAAAGGAGAAGAUUGCUUUUAGGAGGUAAGACAGCUAAUUUUGAACCCAUUCUAAUUUUUCUAGGUAGAAGUAACAAUUCUAUUUGUUGAUAAGUUGCAUAAGAAACUAGGUUUGUUUUGUUACUGAAGUUGUAGUAGUAGUCUAGGUGUUUUAAAAAGUUUUGUUUGAAAAACUUUAUUUUUUUUACUAUUGUUUAAAUUUUUUUAGCAACAUUGUUUAUUCCAAAAAUCCGUAUUUUAACUCGAUUUUACUAUGAGUUUCAUAGUUCUUUAGGUCUUUGGUGCGAAAAUGAUGAAAGAUGGCUAUAGGUUUCGUUGUUAAUACUUUCCAAUAACUUUUAGUUCAUUUUUGAAGCUUAUUUGAUUGAUUUGUUGGUUGUUUAUUAAAAUGAAUCAUUUAUUUGAUUAGUUGCAACGAAUCAUUGGGUUCAAUAGUAGUUUAGAAGGUUGCUAAGUGAUAUAGCAUAACAAUGUAUAUGUAUGAAUGAUGUGUGAAUGCUUCAGAAUAGGGAUGUUUUGAAUGAUUACCUUCAUUCAAAAUUUCUCUUUUAUCGUAUUUCAGGUGGCGGCGCCUAUCGUGAGUGACGUCAAACCGAUUUGGCGGCUUCUAUGUGUAUGGCGACAAAAGAUGUUGUAAAACUUAUUUUUUUACAGUUUUGUAAUUAUUUCCCGGGACUUUGAACGAGUGAUGUUGGUGUAUUAUUUUUGGGGGUUUUGGGAAGAACUGGGGGACGAAUUUUGAAAACUGUAAGCUCCUCUUUUUGCUGAUUUUUGUCAGUCCAUUUAAAUGCAGAAAGGGCUACAGUCACUUCUUUUAACCAACCACAUCUUGCAAAGUUUUCUGACAAAAAUAAAAGGUGGCAGCUCCCCAAAUAAUAACCGUAACGGGCCCGAUAUUGGGCUUGAAAUAAGGCCUGGAAUCGGGCCCGAAAUCAAAUUGGGUCUAACACAUAAAUAGUUUCGAGAUAAGGGAUUUUGCCGAAUUUCGAGAUAGCGGACUUGAGGUCCACUCAUUUCGGCCGUUUCCGUUUAAAAAGAUCUAAAACAAAAUCGGCUUAGAACAGUCUGUAACAUAAUAAUUACAUCUCGAAAAUAUGCUAUUUGGCUACCAAGUUCUCCCCUAACGUGCACUUUGAUUAAUUUAACUGAAUAAACUUCGCAACAAGUAAAAUCUCGACGCUAAAUCCUUCCUAGAGAUGCUACGACUAUUUAGUGAAAUGACACUGGCGUGCAUUCUUCACUCGAACGAAAUUUGGUUACUACAGUUGUCCCUCUUUGUAUUACUUUCGCUUGGAAGUGGAAAGUGGUACAAAGACAGAAACCAAAUUUCGGACGAGCGCCUGAACUUCUCACGUCAAGUCCACUAGGGUCCAAGGAUCUGCCACAACAUCGGGUAGAAAACAAAAUUUGCAACCUGACCACACAAACAACAUGCAAUGCAUUUCCCUAUGGGUGUUAGGGUGAAUGUACUAGGGACUCAGCUUGACUUAUCUCCCGUUCCAUGGGUUGACUAUACUAGGGACUCAACUCGACUUAUCUCCUGUUCCAAGGUGCAAUCCGCUUUCCCCAGGAUGCUAAGGGUUGAUGUACUAGGGAUUCGACUAGACUUAUUUCCCGUUCCAACGUGCGAUCCGUUUGCCUUAGGACGCUAAGGGUUGAUGUACUAGGGAUUCAGCUUGCUUAGUUCCCGUUCCAUGACUACAAAUGUGUUGAUGAUGAAUGGUUUCGAAAGAGUUUGAGUAAGGCUCCCCCUUUUUGAAAAAAACAUGCAUCUGAUGGCAAUGCUUGAUUGAUAUUUUUCAUCAUUUUCACUCCGACGAGAUUCACUGUUUUGUUUUCUUGUCGCUUAGUUCGCACUACGUGCUAGCGCAAUGGUGUCAACCCUGCUGAUAGCUGGGUAACCUUUAAUGUAUGUGCCCAUUUUUCUUUGUUUUUCCCCCGACGUCUUCAUAUUAUUCCCAUGCCUUGGGAUUUUAAGGAUCUCUUUCCUACUUUGUCUCUACUUCUAGAUAUAAUGGUAAGAUAACGACGACCUUUGUAAAUUUCUUUCUUCGGUUAGGAAUAAGUGGAGAAAUCCUGCCAUCCGGGCUUCUUUUCUUUAACCCUUCCCUUUUACUAAUUUUUUCAUUCUUUCAACGGUUUUCAUUAUUAUUACUAUUAUUUUU
rnacentral:lncRNA from 1 species